CCAAAACCUCCUCCUGGUGCAGAUUUGCUACUCAUCUGUUUUGCUGUCUAUUCGGCUGGUCCUUUUUUGCUAGUGCAUGCUUCCAGUGCUCGAUUCACUACUUUAUGACUAGAGGGAUCUAUUGAUGAUCCACCCAACAAUUUUUUUUUUGUGAAGAUCCACCCAAUAAUUUAACCUGCUGUCUGUCACUGGCGUGUCUGAAGUUACAAGAGGAAACUGGACUGUAGUUUGGAGGCACCGUUUCUUUUUAGGAUACUCUGCCGACAUUUUAGAGCCCAUGUGUAGAAGAUUUUACUUGCCGGAUAAGAUGUGGUUGGUUGGUGCUCUACUAAGGCGUUCACUCCAAAAUCCCAACUUUGGCACUAUGCAAAAAGAAGAUUUCCCAUCACAUCAAACUUGCGGUACAUGCAUGGAGUACUGAAUGUAGACGAAAUCAAAACUAAUUGUACAGUUUUGUUGUACUUUGCGAGACGAAUCUUUUAAGCCUAAUUAGUCAAUAUUUGGAUAACAAUUCACAAAUACAAACGAAACGCUACAGUGUUGCUAUAGUAAUUUUGACACCUUAAAGUUGGGCAACUAAACAAGGCCUAAGGGUACAAGUAGACCUAUCUACUAGUGUUUGCAAAGGCUGGCUCUACCUAAAUAAACCCACCUUUCCGUGGGAUGUUAACAGUUCAUAACAAGCACAGCAAGGGUGCUCCCCUCUGCCGCAACUGCAAUUCUUCUUAAGCACGUGACGACUAAAUUAAAUCCAUCAGCACUGUGGUCCCCUGCCUAGGGGCUUAGGCAGCGAUGUAAACUUUGGUUUGCUUUCAGCAGUUUAUCUUGCUGGACACUGCUCCCCGCGUGUUUGUGUCCCGCUGGAGAAAGGUCCCGCGAGCACGUGACGGACAGGAACCCACGCCCUACACUACACACUGGGUCGGUCUCGCAGACGCAUCAUCGCAUAAUCUCCAGGCCAAACUAACCAAACCACCGGUGCAGGGAGGCAGAGUUGCAGCCUGCGCCAUUAACCACUAAGAACACCACCGCUUGUCUCUCCUCUCCCACCCGCCAGAUCCCCCCAGCACCCCCUGCCCGGAUAACGCCAGCCCGGUGGAUCAGGUCAGGCCGGGGCCUAGUCACUGACUCACUGCUCACUACCGGCCGAUGGCCACCUAGUAUUUACCCCGUGCUACCACCAAAGGGCCACCGAGCAUAGCAGCAAGCAUGCACGAGAUGACGAGCGCGAUGCGUCUCGGCACAACUCCUACUCCCUGUCUCAUCAACAAGGACCACCUGAACUCGACCCGAGAAAAAAGGCCAUGAAUCGCAGCCGACGACAAACCCCGGUAGGCCCCGUUACAAUAAAGACGCCGUGGCCCCCGGCGUCCCCUGCCCCUUGCCGGCUGCCGGUGCUCGCUCGUCUGGCUCGCCUGCCUCAGUGCCUCACCAACUUGCCCGAGAUGCCGAUGCCGUCCGCUUCUUCCCGUUCUCCUCACCCCCUGUGCUCGCUCACGUACUGCCGCCUCGCUGGCCAGCGCGCUCACUUGUCUGCCGCUCAUUCGGCGGCCUCGCCCACGUCACCGGCACCGCCCACAAACAGUUCCUGCUGUGCCGCUGCGCGUUUGGAUCAGCCUCAACGUCCUUCGGUUUGGGCGUGAGCGUGACCAGUUUGAUGAGUGAGAGUGACGAUCCGUUUGCCGGCACCGGAUUUCUUUUUCCUGGUGCCGCACCCGCACGCUGUGCCUGUGCUCGUGCUGCACCUUGUUCUGUCCGGCCGGGGCCUCCCCAGCCUUUACUAGCUGCUGUUGCUGGUGGCGUUGCUGUUGCACGUAGUGCUCGGGGGCAUCCACUGUGGUUGCCCCCCUGUGCGGCCGUGGCUGUGGCACCACACUACCAGCUCCUACUACUAGUGCUGCUGCUGCGAUGAUGAUAAUGAUGAUGCUGAUGCUUAGAUUAUUCGUUUCGUUGGGGGUGGCCGGGUGGGAGAGGGGCCACACAUGGGGAGGCAGCUUUCGAUCUUGUCACGCCAAAUGAGGUAAUUCACUAACUCCCCCGGGAUCUCAUAAAUCCGGCCCCUUUCCGCCGAUUGGUCCGUAGGUCGCGUCGCCGGGAUCGCUUCGCUUUCGCUGCCCCCGUCUCCCAACUGCUUGAUUCUUUAUCACCUCCCUUUCCACCCCCGUACUACUCCUCGCGAAACAUGAUUGGAGCACGGUGAUUUCAUUCAUUUACCCAACAAAACUUACUACCUUUCACACGAAAUAGUAGUGGUUCGUGCUCGUACCCUCAAACGGUCAAACCCUGUUAGUAAAAUCACUCCUCAUACUACUCCCUUUUUUUUCUAAAGAAAAAGAAAUUACUCGGCUACUCGUCGUGGUAAAGGAGGCGGGCGAUGUGAUCAGUUGGCGCGCAUGGAGCCGAGGGAAGAAGGGAGAAAACGCCUGCGGCCUGUCCGAAUUCCAGUCCAGGUCAAGAGCUCCGUUUACCGGCCGAGCGUUUUCUUUUUCUCCUCUCCGCCGCCGCCGGCGGUUGAGGAGGCAGCACGUAUAGACUAUUCGCUCCAAACGUGUCGCGUCUAAUCCUGGAACAUACUUUUAUCAAAAGAAAAAAAAUUAUAGCAGUAUUAUAAUUGGUGGACUGGAAGACCAGGGGUCUCUUUCGAAACUUUUAGAAUUGCUCCCCUUUUCCAGAUGGGGUAACCGGCACAUGUUCUGGGCGUUUAGAUUACUCCCAACUUGCCUGUUCGGAACAGGCUGUUGGUUUUGAUUUAGAGCUACGACUAAAUUUAUUUUAGCUGCUUUUAGUCCCUAAACUUUCAAACAUAGGGACUAAAAUGAGGACUAAGGGUUUAGUCCUCUGGUCCAUUUGGGGUGACUAAAGUGGACUAAAGGUAUAGGAGGACAGCCCUGCCCCACAUUAUUCCCAUUCCCACCCGUCCCGAACCCUCCCUUCGGGUUGCCCUCGCUCGCUGCCCUCCCCGCCGCCACUGCCCCCUCUCCUCCCCCACACCCCCAUGACCGCCCCCUCUCCUUCCCACGCCGAGGAAGUCGCGCACACCCACGAGCGCGAGGGCGAGGGACACCACGAGGAGCGAGUCAAUAACGGCGAGCGGCGUGAGGACGCUGGAGAGGAGCACACCGCCACGGUGGAGGGCACGACGUGGCUGGUGAGCGGGAGGAGCGCGGAGGGCCGGAGCGAGAGUGGGGCGAAGGCGAAAACCGGGAGAGGGAGGUGAGAAGGGUGCCGUUUAGCGCGAAGUGGCAGGCCUCAGCGAGGAGCGUGCGGAGGGAGGGGGGUGCGCGAGGAGGUGGCCGUGGCAAAGAAAGAGCUCGCCACCGACGUUGAGAGAGACGGCGGUGGUGGCGGAGGCCAUGGCUGGGGCGUGAUCCACGGUGGAUGCGCGUGGUUAGGCUAACUUGCGCUCCUUCUUGGUUGAGAGGGUAAGCACAUAGUGAGUCACCGAGGCUUCUCUGGACCUGCUACUUUUGUGCAUUGAUUAAGAGGUAUUUUGAUCUUUGUUCAUCUAUUUAAUGGACUUUAGUCCUUAAUCCAAACAGGUUAGGGACUAAAGUCUAAUCCUUGGACUAAAGUUUAGUUCAGGACUAGAGUAACCAAACGAGCCCUUACUUGCAGCUCGGGAAUCUUGGUCCAAGUGAUGAUCGAGCUUCCGUUUUUAGGAAACCGGCACAUGAUGGCCCAAGUCUAGAUCACGUUUCCAUGACUAGUUUAUCACUUUAUCUGUAUCCCCCCAUACGUUUGUAUUUUUACUAUAUUGUAGUAGUACUAGUGCUGUGCAGAAUUGAAUUGAUGAUAAACUAUGUAGGAGCAUCAAAUUAUUGCUGCCUGCGCAGGGAUUGAUCUGGCCAUUGCUGGAUCCUACUCCCCGCUGCUAGUUGCAGCGACACAACUGCUCAACUCCUGUUGCUCAACAUCUGACGACACCACCAAUCAAUCUCGCAGUUAUAAGAUUCUUUGCUUUUUUAAAGAAACGAUCAUGUUCCUUCUAUUUUUUCUGUUAAAAAGGAAAUGAAGGCCAAAUAUUUAUGAUCAUACGUAUAUACCACUGGGACAUCAACUGUUGGCGUAGAGCAAGCAAGUAGCAAGUAGGCAAGGAACGUUACGGCUGCUCCUGUUGCUGACGGUGGCCGGAGGGGAAGGCCUCGUUUUCCGGCGAGGGCCCACGGCGGAGCACGAAAUUAUUGCCCGGUACGGAGGCGAUCUGACCCCGAGCUCCUCCUCCUCCCUAUGGCGCGCCACCAUGUGGCCGCCCCGCCUCCCCUCCCCGCCCAAUCACCCGUGGCCCCUCAUCCCGUCUCACCCGCCCCAGCCGUGCUCCGCGCGCAUCGACGCUGACUUGUGGCCCCGCGAGCCGCGUGGCCCUGGCCCCCACCUGCCUGCGACCGCCGCGGCGGACGGAGACCUCCACUCGCGCGGCACAUAUUCCGUCACCACCAUGGCUAGUAUACGACUAUACCUCCAUGAGAGUGAGUGGACUUGUCGAUCCCCUUUGAGUACUCUCACCCCUUUUGAUUUUUCUGAUUUUCUCCCCCCCCCCCCCCCCCCCCCCCCCCCAGCUGCCACCAUUUUCUGGUCCACUCGUGUGUGUGAAUUCUCAGCUUUGCUUGUUCAUCAUCGCCCUACUCCAGAAGUCCCAAAAACUCCAUUGCUAGCUGCCAUGGUUUCUACUCCUAGCUUCCUCCCCAUCUCCUAGCAGUCGUACAGCUGCUCCCAAAUAAAAUAAGCAUAAAGGCACCAGUAGCAGUACCUGAAGCCCAAAAAUUUAUGUGUUGGUGCGCUGUUGGCCUUCGCCUGACCUAGUUCCCGUUUCCAUAUAUAGAAAAACCACCCCUCGUCUUUCUCCCUAGACCACCCGGCAGACCAGACCGCACGCACUUCUCCAGUUCUCCUCAUCUCUCCCAGGUCUUAGCUCAGCUCUACUGAUAUCAUAUAGCUUAUCGCAAAUAUCAUAUCGUGCCAGCCACCGUGCGGCCGCCAGGCGUUUCCUGCUACAAAUACCGGGCCGGCGCGCGGGCGGGAUGGACGACUCGCCGUCCCAGGCGGCGGCGGCGGCGGCGGCGGCGGCCGACCUGUCGCUGACGCUGGCGCCGGCGCCGGGGACUGCCGGCGGAGGCGGGGUGGGGGGAGGCGGAGGAGGUGGGGGAGGGGGAGGCGGGACGACGGCGUGCGUGGACGGCAAGGACGUGCGCCUCUUCCCCUGCCUCUUCUGCAACAAGAAGUUCCUCAAGUCGCAGGCGCUGGGGGGGCACCAGAACGCGCACAAGAAGGAGCGGAGCAUCGGCUGGAACCCCUACUUCUACAUGGCGCCGCAGCCGCCCAAUGCCGCGCCGCCGAGCCCCACGGGCUACGCCGGGUACGCCGGCGUGGGGGCGGCGGCGGCGGCCGGUGCGACGGCGGGGGUCGGGGUCGCGGGCGCCGGCGGCCUCCCCGCGCACGCGUACGCCGCGGGACACGGGUACGCCCCCGUGCCGGCGCCGUUCGCCAUCGCCUCGCACGGCUCCAGCGUUGUCGGCUCCGGCGGGGUUCAUUACUACGCGCCGCACGAGGGAGCGGCGGCGACCGCUGCGGCCGCGGCCGCCGCGGCGUCGUUGUCGGCGGGGACAGCGGCCGGGGGCGAAGGCGUCGUGCUGGCCCCGCGCGCGCGCUUCGCCGCGCACCAGCCGCUCCUGGCGGCGGCGGCAGCAGCCGACCCACCCAGCGCCGGGCGCGACGACCUGAUCGACAUGCUCAACUGGAGGAGGGGCUCCCACGGCCCCACGGCCUCCGCAGCCGCCACGACCGCCUCGCCGGCCAGCACCACCACCACCCUCACCACCUCCGGCGCCGGCGCCGCCGACGGAAGCUGCAGCAACAACAACGACGACGACGGCGGGGAGCUCGACCUCAACCUCAGCCUCUAGCACUCUUCUCCAAGCUAGCCCCCCAAGGUUAAUCGUGUACCGGCCUAUCCGUACGCUACGCGUGUCCAAGUUAAUUAGCUCCUAGGCACGUUAAUCACUCUCUCUCUCUCUCUCUCUCUCUCUCUCUCUCUCUCUCUCUCUCUCUCUCUCUCUCUCUCUCUCCUCCCCUUGUAUGUUAGUACGCCUCGUCACCUCUCGUCCGUUUUUUGCCAUGUCCUGAACUGAUGUUCAUCUUCUUCUUUUCUUUCUCUUGCUUUCUCGAGGCUUUUGUUUUGUUUGAUCCUAUUCCUCUCUGGGGCCUCCGGUUGUUUGUUGGGGGCUCGCCAUUGCCUCGCGUGUACUCGCCUGCUUCUGCUGCCGGUGCUGGUGACGCAGCAUCAUCGAUGAGUCACCAGUGCCAAGCAUGUGGCAGCACAAUGUCCUCGCCGCUGCUGCCUCCCACAGUUCAGCUCCUGCUCGGCAUGGCCAUGUCUAUGUUACAACACGUUUCGUGCUGGUGCAGUUCGUUCAGUUCCGCUCCGUGCCUCCGUCUACUACCAUCCUACCUGGAUUUCUGCAUUGCUUGACCUGAGGAUCCCCUGCCGCCGGACAGAAGCCCGGGUCGGCGGGUCGCCGUCGAGGUGCCGUCCGGCCGCCGGCACACGAGCGGCGGGGGAGUGGAUAGGCUGGAGUGAGCUCCCUGUUCAGCAGCUGUUGCAUGCUGGCCGGGUGGGGAGCAUGCCCAAUCAGUUUACUGAUGCUAUUGGGUGGUGCAGUAUAUGUCAUCUGAUAUUGUUUGUUAGGUCCGCGUCCCAUCUUGGUCGAUCAUGUGUUAGGAACUGAUCUUGCGCAAAAUGUAACCGCGCCGCGGAAUCUUAACCGCCCACCCAGCAUUUCAUUACCUGCCUGAUCUUGCCAAAGGUAUCAUGGAUUUACCAGGAGUGCAGUAGUAUCAGGGAACAGUAAAAGGGUAAAUGCGUAGAAGUGGUGGCCGUGGCGAGGCAGAAGUAGCAAGUUUUAGGAUGCUGUUGCUAUCCAACUGCGUCAGUUUGUUCAGGUUCAGUCACGCGCCCCAUGGGACAAAACGAAACCCGGUGCCGUCCAAUGGCGCGCCGCGGCCACAGCGUCCGUAGCGGCAGCGUCGUUGCCAUCUGUGCGCUGGGACCCCGGUACAUGGUCCAAUAGUACCAAUAGGAGUCGCGGCCAGCGAGCGAGCGACGUCGGCAUGGGCACCGCAGUACGGCAGCAGUGGCAGGGGGACCCGGAUCUUGUGCGGCGCCGAUGGGCGAUGGCAAUUGGCAACGGCACGGCGUGCCCCGGCAUUGAUUCCGGCCGCGAGUGCGCAACAGGAAACAGCUCUUGGGGCGGCCGAACCGCCGGCCGGAGGGGGUGGAGAGGCGGAGAGCGAUGGCGGUCGCUGGGGGCGCUCGCUCGGCUCGGCGGCUGCCAGUCCACGGCCGGCCCAGACGCGCCCAGUCCGUCGCUGUCGCGCAUCAACGGCGCACACCGCGUGUAGCGGAAGCAGCUCCCUUCCACUUCCAGACCGGGGCGAGAAUGAAAGAGGGAGAUCCUCGUGGUGUGGCUCCGGGCAAUGUCGACAUGGUGACGACGCGGCGCACCCGCCCGGGCGUGCCGCACGCCGGAGGAGGGUCCGCCAGCGACGUACUGGGCCGGCGUGCCCCCGCGCGGAUAACCAUCGCGAGCCGGCGUACUCCGGGCCGGGCGCCGUCGUCGUCUGGCCGGUAGCCGAGUUGGCAGGAGCGGGGGGACAGGGUGGCCGGGGGACGGGGACGGGGAACGGACACGGCCAUGUGAGCGGGCGGGCCCGCCGUCAGCGACGGACAGGGCGCGCGGGGCCACCGGCGGCGAGUGCCGUCGCCCUCCUCUCUGGCCGCCGAGUUGUUGUUGGGCCUUGCUUGGUCCCGGCACUGCGGCGUCCUUGUACCCUUGCGCUCGGCGCAGGCCUGCGUGUGUUCUGUUCGCGCAGCGGCUGUCUGGUUGCGUUGCCAACGCUCGCUCGCCGCUCGUGCGUUAUUCUCUGCGGCACGGGCGGUGAGCGCUGUCUUGCUGCGCCGGUUUCCCGGCCGGCCUGUCGCGUAGCGGCGCCAGGACGAACUGGGCGACUUGGCUGGCUGGCUGACUGACUGGGAUAGUGGGAUCGAGUCAUUGAGAGGUCUCGCUCAUUUUUCGUACGGGCUUUGCUUUUGAAAAUAAGCAAGGAACCAGAGCUGGUACGUACCAGUGCCCUGAAUAGGAGAUGGCAUGUGCUUGGAGUUUGGAAAGGCUCUUAUUUUAAAAAUCUCUCUCUCUCUCUCUCUCUCUCUCUCUCUCUCUCUCUCUCUCUCAUCGGGAAGGCAAGGAAUAAACAGUUGUUCGAGUUGAUGUGUCGUUGUUGCUGCUCCUUUGGCGCGUUGCGUGAGUGGAACCGGGCCGCAGCUGCUGCUGCCUGUUACUCUGUUAGGACCAUUUCUGGAUAAACUCGAGGAGCUAUUCUGGAUCGGGAACUUGAGUUUACCGGCCAGUUCGGUUGCGCAACUUGCACUGUCGCACAUGUGCCGUGCCGGAUCUGGUAUGCGCCAAGUGAUUUGUUCCACCCAUUACGUUAUUAAGACCUUACUAAUACAGCCACUACUACUUCAGCAUUAACUUGAGGCACGUUUUGCUCAUGCACGUAUCUUGCAACAACACGAGUCAGGUGUCACGGUUCUUUUAGGUCACUGUUUGUUUCAUUUGUCCUGCGUGUACACUCAUGACUUCGAUAAAGAAGUUUGGCAGACACUAGAGUUACGGCGAUAUACGGACCGAAACCAAACAUGGCAUAUGUCACUUUGGAUACUUUAGCAAUUUUCAUUGCGUAUCUUUAAGCAUGCUAUUAAAGAUUAAAAUAACUUGAAAAACUCUUCCCUACUACUCCUAAAUGAUGGAAGAAGACAUGACGACGAGUUCAUUUUAUUCAUUACAUGGCCUUUUGAAAUAUCGAUACAUGCUCUCCAUGGAGUACCAUGAAGUGUUGGUGGAAAUGGGGACGAUAGGCAAGGCACCCAUCCUCAGUGGCCUCCGUGAAGCUUUGCCGGUGAACUAGACAGAGUAGCGACUAACCAUCAUCCAUCCAUCAAUGGGUGCAGCACACCCAUCGCUCAGACACAAGUUUUCCAUGAAAAGUACCAGGCCCAUUAUUCUUCGGUUAACAUGGCCACAUCGAGGAAAAUCAGUGUCCAGUGCCAUCUCUUCUCUUCUCUGCUGCAUAAAUACUUGUAUAAAUAAAAUAAAAUAAAAUUGGUGGCCUACGGUCUUUCGUGAUUAUUCGGUGACCACCAAUUUUCUUUGCACAUAAAAGUUGCCCAAUUCCCUACGAAUUAAUUAUAGCAGCAGUGCCAAUAGGGCAUAGGCACACUGGAAACCGAAGAGAUUCGUAAUUUAGUAAGCAGCAAUCCGGUAGUUCAGAGAAGAAAAAACUUCAUAAUUUUCGUAGGCAAUUUGUGGCUUAAAAAGGAAGCAAAGAGUGGUUCAGAAAGCCGUGUUUGGAGCGCACUGUGCGCUGCUGCACUGGAUGUGGAUGCGAGCAGCAUGGCGAGAGCCACAGUGAUGUGGGGGCGUCGGCGGCGGCAGCGCCACUCGCUGGAAGUUGCAGCCUGCAACGUGCCAACUCGACGAUCGACGCGACCAUUCUGUCUCGCUGGAGCGAGCGAACGAUCACGGCGGCCGGCGGUAGUUUUUGUUUGCCCGGGCCGCGACGAGCGAAGAAAGAUAAAAGCGGGCUGGUGAUCGGUACGCGCAGGGGCGCAGGCCGGGCAUGCAUCUCUCGCGUGGCGAUCGAUCGAUCGAUCGAUGGAUCAGCGCCGCUGUCGGCGUGUGAACCGUGAUCACACUUCUCAUGGGACGGAGGGAGUAUUGCGGAUCGAUCUGGACUCAGCCGAUGGAUGCAUGGAUGGAUCCACGCGACGCAUGCGCGGCCGCACCCCGACACAAGAGUUGCGCGCUUGUCGGCAUCCCCCAACCACCCCUGGAAUUUGCAAUGGUGGUAGAGGUCGCGCCAUCCAUCAGUGACGGAUGGAUGAUGGAUCCAGCUCCAGCUAGGAGCAGCAUUCAGGCUCGGUUAGCUCCAACAUCUUUCCUGCUUUGAGUUAAGUCCGACGUAAUACCUUACCUGGAGGAGGAAUUAACCAAACACAUGACGCCCCGCAGUUUUGCUUUCACUCGUAGCAGUAGCACACAAACAAUGGAGUGGAAGCUAACUUAGCAAAAAAAAAAAAAGUUUUUUUUUCCUGCCACGUCGUUUACAUACAUCAAUCCGUAAUUUGCGUUGUGCAUGAACACGCGCGGAUACAGCUCGGCAGCAAGCUCCCCGCCCUGCAGCCGGCGGUCCCAGGCGCCCCGCGCGCGGCAACAGCGGCAGCGUUUGCAUGCCUGGGCUCGUUGCCAUGCUCGUGUCUCGGCUGCCGAGGGGACCCGUAUCCGUGUGCGAGUUCGCGGCUCGCGCGCCCGUGCCCUCGGCGCCUGUUCGCUUCACUCUCACGGGCUGGCCGUCCGCUUGCUGCACGCCCGGCCACACCGGCAGGCGGCGGCGCGCUAGCUCCCUGCCGGUUCCCACGACGCCAAGGUGAGAACUGCCACGGGUUACAGGCUUACAGCAGCUCAGCUCAGCUGCCACAGGGACCGUGAUGCAGCCUGCUACGGGGGGUACGAGCACGACGCUGCUGGCUACACGUGAGGACAAAGGAAUGGGCGGGCGACGCCGUUGCGUGCGUACGUUGUGCAUGUGGGACUAGUGGCUAGUGCUGUCGUUACCAACAAACAGUGUCUCGGCAUGAUUGGCGUGGCCCUCUCUCUACUCUCCAGAGGAUACUUGAAUGGUUUACGAAAAGUCAGCCAACGGUCUGAAACUGAGGUCAUCGGUGUCCAGACAUGGUAAAAAAAAUUCUUGUGCCGGAACGGGAUAGGGACCUUUCUUCUGCGAAUGGGACGACGGAAAAGACAAGGUGCCAUCUCCCUGACGAUUCUGUCGUCCUCCUCCCCCCAACAUGCAAACUAAUGAAAAAUGUUAGGAUUUUAUUGGGACCCACACGUCAUCCUCUAACACCUUUUCCGCCAUUUCUCUCUUGGAGGCUACUGUGUAUUCCCAGUCCCACUUUGCGAAACUGAAACGACAAACGAAACACAGCAAAGGCCCGAGAGGGAGGAGAACAAAAACGAUGCCGAGUGCGAUGCAGCUCGGCUCCACUCACGCGUUUGUCUGAAUAUCACAUUUCAUUUUUUUUUCUUCUUCCAAGUUGCACAGCGAAGAACAUUCCUGUUGCCGCACCGCCACGGCCGGUGGCCGAAGACAAGCCUUAUCCGAUCCGGCUGCCAAGUGGGGCAGCGCUAGAUCCCCGGCUAGAUUUGCUGCGAUCACAUGUCACCAAACUUUGAUCUGGAAUCGGAUCCGGCCCCCUUUUUUCAGUACCACUGCCCUUUCUUUUUGGAGAUGAGGGAUGCAGUGUUGCGAAAGCUGCAGCCCCUUUCUCCUCGUCGCUCGUCGCUCAUCUUUUCCAUCUGACCGGCAGAAGUGACAGCCAAAAAGUGGCGAGUAGAUCAAGCUGGGCCCAAGCAGUCAGAUCGUUGAUCGGAGCGCCAACGACGGAAUUUUUUUUAUUUUUUAUUUUAGUAUUUUGCAAAAAUAUAUGGCCAAGUAAAAAAUUGCAAAUCUAUACCGCCAUUUGAAACGGCGGAAGGUACCGCCAAUUGAACCGCCGGUAACGUAUAUUUUUAAAAAAAUCAUAACUAAUUCAUAUGAACUCGGAUGGAGAUAAACUUUAUUGAAAAUUGUAUAUUUCGAUGAGGUCUACAACUUUGUAGUUAAACUUUUUUCAUUUAGCUCCAUCUUGAUGCUCAAAUAAUCGAUACAAGUUUCAAAUCUAAAAUUCAAAUUUUAGAUCUAAAGCUGAGCCACACACGUUCAAAAAAUCGUAACUAAUUCAUAUGAGCUCGGAUAGAGAUAAGUUUUAUACAAACAUUGUAGUUCUCGAUGAGAUUUACAACUUCGUAGUUCAAACUGUUGGUAUAGGUAUAUAUUUAUAAUUUUUUUGUUUGGCCAUAUAUUUUUGCAAAAUACUAAAAUAAAAAUAUAAAAAAAUCGCCAACGACAAACAGGAGACACAGAUUCAGUGGAUAAGCUGAUAAGGCAAGUAGAAAAUGGGCUUCCGAUCAAAAAGGAAAAUGAGAAAAAGUGAAAUGGGCUUUGAUGGCAGGGAACAAAGGUGCUUGGAUCCCUAGCUGGACCUUGCUUUGCCUAGCUGGGCAAGAAAAUUUGCAUUUGGUUCCAGAGCAAACUUUUCUUAUUUUUUUUUUAUAUUUUGUCUUUUAUGAUUUUGCAAAAAUAAAUAGCCAAUUCAGAAAUUUGCAGAAACAAACUACUACCGCCGGAUUAAACGUCUGAAGCAAACUACCGUCAGUUGAAUCGGCAGUAACUUCUCCUUCUGGACAAUACACUUUCAAAAAAUUAUAACUAAUUCAUAUGAACUUGGAUGGAGAUAAACUUUAUAUGAUAUAGUUCAAACUGUUUUUAUUUGGUGCCAUCUUGGUGCUUAAAUAAUUGACAUAAUUUUUAGAUCUAAUUUUAGCACCAAGAUGACACUAAAUGAAAAAAGUUUGAACUACAAAGUUGUAGAUCUCGUCGAGUUCUACAAUUUUCAUAUAAAACUUAUCCCUAUCCAAGUUCGUAUGGAUUAAUUAUGAUUUUUUGAAUGUACGCUGACCAAUUUCAGAUCUAAAUUUUGAAUUUUAUAUCUAAAACUUGUAUCAAUUAUUUGAGCAUCAAGAUGACACCAAAUGAAAAUAGUUUGAAUUAUAUCAUUGUAGAUCUCAUCAAGAUCUACAAUUUUCAUAUAAAGUUUAUCUCCAUCCAAGUUCAUAUGAAUUAGUUAUGAUUUUUUGAAAGUGUACGGGGAGUUACCGCCGGUUCAACGGGCGGUACCUUGCUUCCACCGUUUACCGCUCCAUUUCUGUAAAUUUUUAGAUUUUCUAUUUAUUUCUGCAAAAUUGUAAAAAAAAUUAAAAAAUCGUUUUUCUUGGAGUCUGUGAUGGCAAGCAUUUUGCUUGCUUCCGACGGAGAGGAAUUUUGGCUAGCCUGGGCUGGCAAGGCGAGCCUUGCUCGCGCUGGCGAGGCGAGGCGAGGCUAGGCUGGCGGCCCAGGUACCAAGCGCGCCCAAAGUAGAAGCGAGCUCGUUCUGCACCUGCCUGCCCGCCGCCGCCGCGAGGCGACAGCUCGGGCUGAAUAGGUCCGAAUCUGUUUGGGUCGACUCGUGUUACCGGGCCGGAUCGGCGAUCUAAAUCAAAGAUGGGCAAUUAAUUUACACGCCGUCACGCGGAUUUCCUAUAACUGCACCACAUUGUGCUCUCUCUCUCUCUCUCUCUCUCUCUCUCUCUCUCUCUCUCUCUCUCUCUCUCUCUCUCUCUCUCUCUCUCUCUCUCAAUCUAUACCAUAUUGAGAUUCUUGACAAAGGAAUAAACAGAAAAUAGUUAGGUUUAGCCAUUAAGCAUACCAGGCUUAUCUAUAUGGGUUAAUACUAAUUACAUAGCAUUACAACAGACCCACAUCACUAGGGUGGUGAGGCAGCGAAAUAAAUACAAAAAGAAAUACAAGAAGAAAAGGAGAUGCAUUACAUGGCCGUAAAAAGAGUCAUAAAAAACUGGAGCUACACAAACAGAGCAUGUCUUUUCGGCAAUGUGCUUGAGCAUCGCAGCUCUCUUGAUGCUAUACGGGCAUCUCAUUUCUGAGACUGCCGCUGCAAAGGUGUUGGCUUCGAUGAAGCAUUUGGGGAGACCUUCCCAAGAACAUUCAAAGCCUUCAUCCGCUGCAGCUCUUUCCCUACACAAAUGCCAAACCAAAAUCACAAUGAUUGUUUGUUCAUUUAGUUUGAUGGCAGAUGAAGUGUAAAUAUGGAAAUCAGAUAUCACCAAGUACCAUUUGUGGUUGCAAGAUACUACAGAGUACAGACACUGAAAAGUAUUAUGACAUGUUCAAGUGACUUAGACGGUAUACAACAAAGCUAAUGCAACCCAUUGUGCUUAGACACAUACUUUACUGAAGCUCCAAAGUUGAUGAAGGCACAGGCAACGGUUAAAAGUGAUUGAAGGGAGAUUAGGCAGCAUAGUACGUACUUCAAUGCACAAAGUACAUAUAGGAUGGAGACGCAUGGGGCAUGUGCCACAUAUACAGGGGAAAUCUAUCGCGAUGCCAUAGCAUAUAGAUGCUGUGCGACAAGACAGUUCAAAUGAAACGACAAUAACCUUCAAUAUGGUAAGAAAGUAAGAAUGGCAGCAAUAUCUCACCUUCCUCCACUAGGAGGUGUAUUGCCCUUUUCUCCAGCUCAAUCGCAUGCAUGCUUCGCCCAGCUGCCGAAAGGGACCUAAGCUCUGAAAGUAAUGGGAGGGAAUCAGCAUUCUACGAGGGGAAAAUCUAAAAGUUACAAAGGUUUUAACAAACUUCUUACUUCGCAAAUAACCCUCCUGGGUCGAAUGAUCACAGCUCUCCAAAUAUGUCUGUAAUCGAUUAAACCUCUCGUUCCAGUAUUGUAUGCUUAACUGUUUCACAUCCUCUUGAAUGCCAGUGCCAGAAGCAACUGGUGGCUCAGUUUUCUCUGGCACAAUUUCUGCAUUUGUUUUUUCAGGAGAUUUGGAAGAUACUAUAUCUACAGAUUCAGCAACAGGGGAUGACACUUGGGUCCUACUGGCCUCCUCUUGCUGAUCUUGUUGAACAUCUUGGUGUGUCUCCUGCUCUUUUGCUUUGUCUCUUCCAUUACCUUUCAAAUCCUGAGAAGGAUUCACCUUACUAUGCUCAGAUUCUACUUUUCUUCUUACAUAAACAUUAUGAUAUCCAGGACUCGAGGGAGUAUCAGACUGCAGCCGUUUGAUGCCCACAGCCUUUCCAGGUUCUGUUGUAGGACCUUUAUCUUUUGGCAGUGGAGAAGUUCCUUGAGACAUAUUUACGAUAUUUGCACCUUUCUUUGGCAACUCACUUGUUGCUGUUUUUUUGGCUCCAAUGCUACUUGCUUAUCACUAGAUGGUAUGGCUCCUCCAAUACAUUACGACAAUCUUAAUGAUACCUGCAAUGCAUAAGAUGCUUUCCAUCAAUAAGACGAACAAGGACCACAAAAAUGGUGAGUUGAAGUUACAGCAAAAGGAGCUAGUAGAAGAAAGAAUUUUUUUUAGCCUUUUUUUAAUCUAAAGUUUUAAUAAUAGCAUAUUUGAAACUAAAUUUUCACGUAAUCCUUUUGGUCAUGCCAACGGGCUUGCCAUGACACGCUAGAUAGCUUGGCCUGACUAAGCUCUUGAGUUAUACCAAGCAUGUUGGCUUGGCCAAGUUUAGGGGUCAAGCCAAGCCGUUGGGCAUGACCAAAUGGGCAACUUCUUAAAACUUUAGUUCCGCAUGUUAUAAAAUUAUUAGAUUAAAAAGGGCAAAAAAAAGCCUAGAACGAGGCAUAUUUAUAUAUAAGGUCCUCACACAUAGUUUUGUUUUCAUAUGCCAUUGCACAUUUUACUUAGUAAUUCAUUUAGAUGAACAACAUCCUAAGUGAAGAUGAAAAAUAGAGCAAUUCAGAACCACCCCCCACUGCACUUGCCUUUGAAACAAUGUCUUAUUCUGUUUCCUACUAUGCUGUUCCAAUAAAAAUUUACAAAUGACAAUCAAAUUAAACAAUUACCGAACCAGAAGUAAAAAGAAUUGCCCUUGUUUGGUCAUAAGCAAGGACCGAAAGAACACAAAUUUAUCCAGAAAUAAGCUAGUUACCGCUUUUUGUUGGAUCUUCGAUCAUAUAUUCAUAUAGCACCGGUUUAACUUGAGAGAAACAUACAACAAACUAAUAUUUCUGGCAAUUUUAGCAUACACAAAAUAUAAUAAAGCUUCCAUUAAUCAAAAGGCAAACCAGCCAGAACAAGCAAAGCAAACGAAAAAUCUAUCAUUGUCAGUAAAAACCAGUGAACAAUGCAAGAUUCCUAUCAGCAAUUAUGCCAAACUGAGUAGUAAGCAUUCUAUCUUAACUCUUACAUCAAUACCAUUCUGCAUGAGUCAUGAAUUAUCUUGCUACUAUAAAAGUCGGGGCUCUUUCAUGAUUACUCUACUAAUAGGUAAUAGCAACACUAAUCCAAGUAGCCACCCUCCCCAAUGGACAUUGUUUGUUUAUAAGAACAAAAAACAUAAGAAAGCCAAUAAAAUUAUUCUAAUCUUCUUCAAACUUCAGUGCUUCAUGCACAAAUGAUUUUUUUUUCUCCGCUGCAUACACCCACUGUGUUUUUAUUCAAACCAUCCAUGUCUCUUUCCAUAUCCACACACAGCAGUUGCUAUCUAAAUGCAUAUGCUACAUUAAAAAAGAUGAAUCAGAUACAAAUGAAAACACAAGCACUAUAUUAUAUUCUGAUGAUUGAAUAAUGAAAUCGAGACUGACAUGGUGCACAGACUUGUUUAACAGGGGACCUGGUAACUACACUUUUUGCCAAGCCAAACUAUAAAUUGUGUGAAAACAGCAAGUUCUUAGUGACAGCAUGCUUAAAAAUGAGUCCAUCUAGCCGCCAUGUAACUAACAAGAAUUGUGUGCAUGUUGUUGAAAUUUCAAAAUCUAUGUUAAGCUUCGUCCAUUUUCUGUUAACCUAAGAACAACUAACGAUUCUGCCAUAAGGGCAUUAGUAGAAGUCAAGUGAUUUCUUAUAAUCGCCAUCUCAAGCUAGCAUCAUUUGCACUAAAAGAAUAAAUGGUACCUCUUUUAGAGCCUCCUGACCACAGCACUGGCAGAACACAGCAAGAUAAGCAACCUAACAAAUUUGAUUGCUUCCGAAUUCUGAAGCUAAAAAUGUUCCAAAAUUUGUCCGAAAAUAGCAAGUUCUUAGUGACUGCAUACUUAAGCUAAGGACUAACUAACUUGGUUGCCUUUCCUUAAACAAGAAAUUCAAAGAGAUUGCAGUGAAUAUCUUAAAAAGCAGAAAAGUGAUGUCAACUGAUUUCUUAUACCUGGCAUCUCAAGCCAGCAUCAUUCAUUUACAGACAAAAUACACAACAGGUACUUAUUUCAGAGCCUCCUGACCACAGUACCGGCAGAAAAUGCAAAAUAAACAAGAUAAAAACAAUAUUUGAUUGCUUCCCUAUUCUAAACCUAAUUAAUAUGGAAGCAGGAGGGGGGCAAAUGCUGCCUUUCAUGCCUGAGGGAUUAGAGUAGAGACCGGCAGUUACCUGUCCUAAUGCAGCGAGAUAUUUGCAUUCCACAAAAAGGUCAUCGCCCAACAAAUCUAGACAACAUUUCAAUCCCGAUUCAUACCAUAGAAACACAUACAAACCGCAAGCAGGGGAAUUCAGGGUCCGCUCACGAGCACAGAAGAUUCCACGGUGGAGCCAAGCACUCCGUCAGGGGGACGCGGAAACAUGGCUUCUUAGACGAAUGGCAGGCGCAGGACACUCACCCGAGAUCGUGGAGGCGAAGACCCGCGCCGCGCGCCGCGGCUGUGGAUUUGACUGACGGAGGGAGUGCCCGCGGCGGGGGAGGUGAUCCGAGGCCGUCGGCUCCGAGGCAGGGCGCGGGAUGAAGGGACCCACGAGCGCGGGUUCCAGGUGACGGGCGGCGGCGAGGCUGAUCGGCGGAGACGCGGAGAAGGCGGGGGAAGCAGGGGGCGGAUCGAGGAGACGGGGCAAGAAUUGGGGGCAGCCGAGACAGAGAGAGAAUCCAACGGGCAACUGUGACUCUGUGUGGCUGCGGCAGCCGUCAGAUGUAGGGAUGGCAACGGGCCCCGAUCCCCGAUCCCCGGCGGGGAUGGAUCUAAUUGGGGCCAUUUUACUCCCCACGGGGGGCUUAACGGCCAAAUUUGAUCCCCAUCGGGUGAAGCGGGGCUUGGAACGUUCCAUAGGUCCCCGUCCCCGUUCCCCGCUAGGGACCCCGAAUCUCGUACUGUAUGAUACAGGGUGAUACACCCCACUAAAGCUUAGCACAUGUCAUAUCGGAUGUUUGAUGCUAAUGGAAGUAUUAAACAUAGCUAAUUACAAAACUAAUUACACAGAUGGAGUCUAAUUCGAGAGACGAAUCUAUUAAACCUAAUUAGUUCAUGAUUUGAUAAUGUGGUGCUACAGUAACCAUUUGCUAAUGAUGGAUUAAUUAGGCUUAAUAGAUUCAUCUCGCGAAUUAGCACAGGAUUCUGCAAUUAGUUUUAUAAUUAACACAUAUUUAAUCCUCCUAAUUAAGCAUCCGAACAUCCAUGAUGAUACUGCUAAAAUUUAGUACUGCUGUCAAACACCCUCGUAAUACAGGCCGAAAUAGAGGCCUAAUAGAAUAUACUAUCUCCGUUCGUGAAUAUCUCCGUUCGUGAAUGUUUGUCGUUUCGGACAGGAGUUUUGUCCUGGGAAUAGGUUAAAUUUUUGGUCUGAACGUUCAUUUAAAAAGGAACGGAGGUAGUAUUACCCAAGCCCAAACGAGUCGUAUAUAAACCGUGUAAAUCCUAGCUCACUCCAACCAGUCCCCCAUUCUCCUCCCCAACUCCCUUGCGGCUGCGCUGCCGCCGUCACUUCUCCUUCUCCAGUUCGCCCCUCACCUCUCCCCUAGUCAUCCCAAUCCACUGUGUCGGUGAGGAACUGAGAGAGUGAGAGAUUCGGUGUCCAUGGAGGCUACGGGAUCCACCAUUGGCAGCCGGUGAAUCCCUUCUUCCUCCUCCUGUCCUCGAGCUCAGCGUUUUUCUACUGACCUCGACGUCCCUCAUCAAGGGACGACGACCGGCCGCCGCCGGAUCCAACGAAGACAAGCAAGGCCGUUGUCGUCGCUGCUGCCGGAUCCAAUCUUCAAGUCGAUGCUCCACCUCCUCCUGAGAAGAAGAAGCCACCACCACCAGAGAAGAAGAAGGCUCCACGACCAUCGUCCACCAAAGCUAAUCGUGGCCGGUGACCCGAAGCGACUUCCUCGACCCCGACCAACUGCGGCCAAGGGCGUUGAUCCAAAGCACCGGCGCUUGCACUCUAAGGAAGCUGAAGCUCUCUCCAAGAAGUCCAGCCGCAGUAUUCUUCACUCUCUCGGGUUAGUAAGUUUCCAGAUUUGCAUUUUGUUGAUUUAUUUUACUGCUAUUCAAGUGUGUACGCCUGUAGGCUUGGAUCUAGGGAUUUCUUUUUGCUAAUUGUUUAGAUCUAUAUACGUAAAUAGUUCAUAGUUCAGUAGUAGUGUAGUACUGAAGCAAUGCAAUGUCGUGAACACAGUGGACAUACAUACAAAGGACUUUGAUAUUUUAGAUUGGUGGAAAGUGGCAGGAACGCUCUAUCCUACUUUGAGAUUGAUAGCAAGGGAUAUUUUUGCAAUUCCUAUAACCACAGUUGCUUCAGAAUCUGCAUUUACCACUAGUGGGCGAGUUCUUAGUGAGCAUCGCAGCAGGCUGACUUCUCCAAUGCUGGAGGCUCUAAUGUGCUCACAGGAUUGGAUUAGAAACAAGUAUAAAGGUAAAUUUCUUGGGCAAUUUGCAAUUCUUUUUGUCCAGUUAUUCAAUGUUUUUUCCUCAUGUUGUUCAUACUUGAUAGCUUCUAAUUGAAAAUUAUUCUUGCAAUCCUAUGCAGGCCUUGUUACUGAUGAAGGACAACCUGCUAGCUUUUGGUCUGCUCUUCAAGAAGUCCAAGAAGGCCUUCAGGUGAUUGAUCCAGUACAGCAACAUUCAUCUAUUUUUUGUGUCUUCUCUUUUUAGUCAGUAACUUGUGUCCAUGUAUAUCUAUGUAGGAUUGCAAUUUAACUCCGGUAGGAGCACAGCAGAUUCCUCCCUGACCAUAUGUUCAGAUCCUUGAAACCAACUGUCAAGAUGGCGUGCUGUCCAAGUAGAAUGUGAUCACACUGUUCGACCAGCAUUAACAGUUUAACACUAACUAUUUAUGUAAGCUUUGUUUGUAACGAAUGAUGUGUGAUAACACUACUACUAUCUUGCUUUUGCUGCUGCUGCCAUGAACUUGAUACUAAGUUGAAUUGUUGUUGGUCAGUGGAUGACUAGAACUCUAGAACUGCUGUUAUCUAAUGUAAUGUCUGUGUGGUGAACCGGAAGUCUCGAACUGGUGAAUGGACUAAUGGAAUGAUGGUGAUUGGUGAAUGCCUGAUGGUGUGAGUAUCUGGUAUUGUUAUUCUGGUUUGUGCUUGUGGGCUGUGAUUCACAUAGUAUUUUCGAUAUUCUUCUUGUUUUAUGUUGCUGGUUCGUGGGGAUUUCUCGGGGACGGGCCCCCAUCGGGUGGGCGAUCCCUGCUCGGGGACGGGGAAAAUCCUUCCCCGCGAGUGUUAGCGGGGACGGGCCAGUUCCGCUCCAGCGGGGAGCAGAAUGUUCAGCUAAACCCCGGCCGGGAUAGCCCCGUUGUAGUCAGAUGCAUCGGAUCAACGGUCAGGGAUCACGCGUGGGCCAGUACUCUGAUGGAGUACUUUCGAAAUAAGGCACACAUGAUCAGGUGUAAAAUGCAAUAUCAGCAUAUCAAACAAAAUGCAACAUCAGUUCUUAUCGAUUAAUCUAUCCAAAACUUUAAAAAACACUUUGCACCUAAAAAAUUUCUCUCUACCCCUCACACUGGUCCCACUUGACAGGCUUUAGGGAGAGUGGAGGAGCUGCAGACCCAUCAGAAUUGAUAGAAGGAAAAUGAGUCCGCCAGAAGACCAAAAGUUCUCACACCACCGCGUCCUGCUUACCCGCCGCCGUACCCACGUCGUCCAAGAAGGCAAGAAUUCUCUGUGGAACCUCCAAUCAAUCGGCAAUCAUCAAUCAAGCAGACAGUAAAAAGGAAAGUCUCGCGAUCUCCGAACCAGUCAAUCGGCAAUAGUCAAUCAAGCCAGCGUAAAAACGAAAGUCUCGCGAUCUCCAAACCAGUUGCGAUCACGUUCCCCCAUCAUCCCCUCCCUCUUCAGCGUUCCCAUCGUGAUAGUCUUUGGCGGAUGGAAGAACAAGCCCUCGACAGAUCGCAGAGAGUGGCAACUCCAAGUCUCGCGUAGACGGCGGCGAGGCCAUAAUCUCCAAGGUGUUCAGCCCGGCGUGUUCAUCACCAAGGUGGCCGGCCUGCGCAUCUCUGCUCGUUUGGUUCAGCUGUCUCACGUGAGUCUCCAUGUGUUUUAUAUAUGCAUAUUGAUUUUAUUUACAAGGCCUGAGCAGCUCAUGAUGGAUAAACGCGUUCCGUUCGUACUCUUUCCUUUCGCAGAGACGGCGAGGCCAUCGUCUCCAAGCCGUCCAGUCCAGCCUGCACAUCUCCAAGCUGGCCGGCGAGCGCAUCUGCUCGUGUUCUUCCCUCUCGCGGAGGCGGCGGCGAGGCCAUCAUCUCCAAGCCGUCCAGUCCGGCCUGGCCUGCAGUCCUGCACAUCUCCGAUCCAAGCCGGUCAGACUGCGCAUCUCCAAGACCGGUCAGCCUACGCAUCCGCUCGUGCCGUCUAUCAGAUUGGAAGUGCAACGUGAGUAUAAUUUGCAAUGUGAGUACAAUCUUUUAGCUGUAGUCGGGCACAGCUAACAUAAUUGAUGCGAUCUUGCAUUUACUGCUUAUGGACCACCGUGUUCUGCUUGGAGAUGUGACAGACACACCCCACCGGGGUAUUAAUAUUGGCCGUGGUGUUAAAGGCAAGGGUGGAGUCAGGAGUCAGGGGCUUAGGGCCAAUACAUUGGUGCAAAGAGGAAAGAUUUCUGGCGACGACAAUGGUAUUGGCGUAUUUUAACUCAUGGCUCAUCAAGAUCUGCAUGGAUGAGAUAUGCACCGUUCUAGCAAAAUGAGUGUACAAUUUUUUUUACUUAAAUAUAUACUUUGGAAGUUUGGAUUGCAAUGUUUUUAAUGUGUGAUAUACUAAAUUGUUAUUACUGAAUCUAAAAUUGUACAUUAGAUUUCUUUAAAAUGUGUUCUUGCCGUAUGUAAAUCUUUCCUAUAAAUAUAAAAUUGUUGUUUACUAUAAUUUUUAUAAAAAACUUAUUUAUUAUAUUUAAAAAACAUGUGCGUGUCGCACGUGUACUCUGCUAAUAGUGUAAAACAUACGUAAAAUAUAGUGUAAAAUGUAGCCAACCAGUCAUCAACAUACAUAUGUUUCACACCAUUACUUUGUAUAUAUGUGACUCAACCGAUAAAAUUGUCAGAAAACAAUGCUUGUUCCUGUAAAUUUGUCAGGAAACAAUGCUUGUUCCUGUAAUCUUGUCAGUGCGUAUGCAAAUGUGGUGAAAUGUGUCAUAGCUUCAGUUAAACACCUGCUUCUGCUGAUAGAAUGUGGAUGCCUAUGAUGAGAAGAUAUUUUCGGUAUCGGAGGAGAUAUGUUGCAGUGAAGGUUGUUAAUGGUUCAUUCCGUGGUUGCUGAAUAAUUCACUAUGCUGCAGUGCCUUUGCUGAAUGCUUAGGAUGAGGCAAGCGAAGGUUUAGAUGGUUAUGCUAUUGUGUCCCGGGGUAUGGCUUUGCCAUUCUUGUGAGCCUAAAUGCAUACUGCGCAUAAAUCUUAAGCCUUUUUGCAGUCCGAUGUGCUCGAAACCCAAAUGGCGUACUCGCUGAUCGGCUGGAGGACAUGAAGAACAAGAGGACAGAAGAUUUAACUGAAGGAUAAAUUUUUCAUGCAGCCAACGAUGGCGUACUCCAUCCCCUGAACAGUUGUUGUGCCGAACCUCGUCUUCGAAUUACAAGUUCGUUUGUAUUGUCCACGGACGAUGCAGCACACGACCGAAAAUUAUAGGACGCCGUCCACCUGCAAAAUUAUCUACCGCCCACCGGCCGGGACACAGGAUCUGGCGCUAAUCUUUAACGUUCUUAUUGUAUCACGGAUUAUUGGGUGCGCGGCGAUCGAGCUCGCCGGCCGCCGGGGCACCAUCGUUGGUUGAUCGAUAGGCGGAUGCGCGGCGAGGCAGCGGCGGCGGCCCCCGCUCACAACCUGGGCGUGGGGCGGAGUUUGUCGCCCUCAGUGAGGAUGUGGCUGCGGUUGAUGUCGGCCAGCGUGGUGCAGCCGCUGAGCGCCAUGGUCAGCUCAAACUCCUCCCGCAGCAUCCGCAGCACGUUCCGGACGCCCGCCUCGCCCGCCGCCGCCAGCGCGAACACCACCGGCCUCCCGACCUGAUCGGACGAGGAAACCACCCACACACAGCCAGGGAUCAGUCUCUGCGCAUGGCGAAAUCGAAAUGGAAGCCGCGUCGCGCGCCGGGGCACUUACGAAGAUGCCGGCGGCGCCGAGGGCGAGCGCCUUGAACACGUCGGUGCCGCGCCGGACGCCGCCGUCGAGGUACACCGGGAUGCGCCCCUGCGCCGCCGUCACGACCUGCAAUUCCGCAGCAACAGCUUUGUCAUCGUCUAGCUCCUUUCCUUGCCGAUCAUGGUAGCCACUAGUAGGAGAAAGAACGCUGCUCGUAGCCUCGUACCUCCUCGAGGGCGCUGAUGGUGGCGGGCACGUAGUCCAGCUGGCGCGCGCCGUGGUUCGACACGAUGAUGCCCGCCGCGCCGGAGUGGACGGCCAGCCUCGCUGCGGUCGAACGGAUCAUGGGACGUCAGCAAUCUUCGCAUGGGUGAUGUUUGAUUCGUGUGGAAAUCAGAAAGGAAGAGGAGGCUCAGAAGGAAGCUCACCGUCCUCGGCAGUGAUGACUCCCUUCACCAGGAUCGGCAGCGAGGUGAUGCUCUGCAGCCACUUGACAUCCUGCACAUUCACAAGCCCAUUUCAGUCUCAAGAGUGGUUGCUGCUCUGCGCAUUGGCAUCUCAUCAUAUCAAAGCAGGAUGGUUGACGGUGAUGGCAAUUGGCAAUACCAUACCUUCCAGCUGAGGGUGCGGUCAACCUGCCCAGCAACGUACGACGCCAGCCCAGAAUCGUUGGCCUGGAAAUGCCAGACAAACCGGUGUCAUCGGUGGGUAAGAAAGUGAACAGAAACGGUCUGCAAAAGAACUCUGAAGCUGGCACAAACCUGGUCCAUCUUGCCAAGGUCCAGGCCCUCAAAGUUCUUCAGCGUCAGGUGUGGCGGCAGAACGAACCUGCAAUAAUGCAAGCAUUGUUGCUUAGCGGUGUCAGGAGGCAUGGUUAUUGGAACUCAGUUUGGGAUCUGACAAGGCAAGGGCAGCCGAGAACCGAACCUGUUCUUGAUGUCGGCUUCGCGGCGGCCGAGGCGUGGGGUGUCCACGGUGAGCGCGAUCGCCUUGAACCCGGCCUUCUCGGCCCUUCUCACAAGCUGCUCCACCACCUUCCUGUCCUUGUACACCUACAAUGGUUCACGGCACACAUGCAAAAGGAUUGUCACGCCAAGAGAAAUUACAGCACACUACAGUUGUACACACACUCUGAUAGUUUUUGGCAUGCUUACAUAUAACUGGAAGAAACGGAUUCCAGGUCCGGUGGAGGCAACCUCCUCAACACUUGAAGUAGCCCAUGAUGACAGUGUCUGAAAGAGAAGGUAGCAUCAGGCAGGGGUAUUAGGGACCUUUCCAACAUGGUAUGCAUUUGCAGCACCGUUUGGUUUGGUUAUAUUCAUUGAUUUUGUGCCAUUAGGACAAGAAACAUACCAUGAUAGUCCCUGCUGCUGAUGCAGCCCGUGCAGUUGCAUACUCCCCUGAAGAUAUACGAGAUAUCAGUUGCGUCAACAAACGAAUGCUACUCAACUUUACGCUGUCCAAUUAUGCGGAAGGUACUUCUGUACUUGAUUUUAGUACAUGAUACCAUAAGACUUAUAAAGCAGGAUCAUCGGCAAAUACAAUCUAGUAUGCAGUAAGGAUUAGAAGAGUUAAACUGAAUAAUACCAUCUGGGUGAGCCAUUUUCUGCAUGGCGGUAGGAGCAAUCAUAAUGGGCAUUGAGAUCUUGAAGCCCAGAACACUUGUGGUCAUGUCAAUCUUGGAGACAUCGAUCAGUAUGCGAGGGCGGAACCUGAUCACACAAGAUUACAGUCAGACACUGACAUCCACAAGAUGAGCCAAAGGAAUAACCAGAAUGGGCGACCAUAUCAGAGAUUACUAGCAUCUUUCAAAAUACCAGAGAUUACUGAACAUUUAUCUUGCAUGGUGCAGUGGCAUCAAAAGGGCAACUCAUUGCAUCUCAAACAAAUUUUUCAGUGCAGCGUGAUCAUAGAAAUAGGAUUUCUUUGCACAUAAGCACUACGGCUAUUAAUUUGUUUGCAAAAUUCUUAGAGAUGUAAAUACUCUCUAGCAGGCUACACUCCUGACUCCUACCAAGAGAACAAUACAAGCCUUUGAAUGAAGAGAGCUGCUUACAGGAUCCUGGAGAAGGCCUCCCGGUUCUCAUUGAGCGUCCACUCGUCCUCGGCGCCGGAGGCGUAGUAGUCGUAGGCCAUCUUGGGAAGCUUCUGCUUCGCGAUGGCCUGGUACUCCAUGACGUUGGUGAUCUCCCCCAUGGCGCCUCCUUCGCCGCUGGCCGGAGCCCCCACACCACUCGCUGCGAUACGAAAACAAAUAUUGGAGCAUGAGCUUUCUGCCGGAUAUAAAUCAAAUUUAUAUUCUCGAGAAAACAAAGCCAAACAUGCUGGUCACACUUGGAUCAAAGACAGCUCAAUGCAUUCUUACGCACGCGUGCAGUAGUAAAAACGCUAGACGUACUCCCUGUACAAAGCAGUAUUACUCUGUUUUACGUAUGUCUAGCUACCAAAGCUUCCAGUCAAUCUUGAGCUAGGUAGGAUACUUUGUUCCAGCAGUUGUUAUACUUUUUUAUUUAAUAAAAUAAAUAACUGUGUUAUAUAUUUUUCACAUGAUCAUGCAAGUCCGUUGAACCUUUUUUUUUGUGUGUGUGUGCACGCGUGUGAUAAUAUGGAUAACUACUAGGUCUGCAAAUAAUUGCUCACCUGGCAGCUGGUAUAGACGAAUAUAGCAGGGGUUAAAAAUAGGAUUUUCUUAUAUUAUAGUGCCCCCGAUCGAAAACAGUAUCCUCAUCCUCAAGGAAACUGAGAGUUUCAGGACAGCAGUAGUAUCCGAUAUCUAUGGCGAUAGCCUGCUUUCAGGAUUAACGUGGACUAACGAAACAGGAACAGCAUCCGAACAAACCGGAAAACAUGAUUUCAGAGAAAUCCUGAGAGAUGUACACCAAUUCUACAUCAACAUGGUUAUCAUGAACUCUUCCUCUCACAUGCUCCUUGCGAAACACGCAUGGCGGACAUAACAUUAUUAAACAAUACCACUCGACCAAUUAGAGGAGUCGGAGACGCAACGGGAUGACAAAAUCAGCAUAUGCAAGAAACGCACAAUUCAUUUUGAGUAGCAGAUGAUGUUGAAGAAUUCUUCUUACCUUUACACAAGGAUGGGGAUGGGGAGGAUCGGCAGGCAGUGGAGAAGCUAGGGUACAAGAGCCAGAGGGAGAGGCUGGUGGUGGUGUUGAGAGAGAGGUUUCUGCAUGAAGACAAAGGCGGGGGAGUAGACGUGGGAAGAGAAGCGAGAAAGGGAGCGAGAGGUUACGGAUGAGCUAUUGGAGGUAGUGAUGAAGGAUGCCUCCUCCUACACAGCUUCCUCAUCCACUUGACAUCACCUGUCCCGGCCUCCAGCACUGCCUCCAUCCAACAGAUGGAGCGGCACGAUAAAGAUAACAAAUUUGUUAUUUGUGUUUUGGGUUGAGUUGGAGUGGUUUAUCUAUCUUCUCACAGUCACAAAAAUUUGCAAUUUUUCCACCUUGCUUUCUAGAAUUGGGUUGGGGGCACAACUGAACAAAUCACAAAGUGAAGGGUACUUGUUAGGGAGGAUAAGGCCACAGCAGGGGUCGUUCUUGUGUGGUGGUAGGGAUGAAAACGAUUGGAAAUAAAACCACAUUAUCGGAAACGACACUCAAUCGAUCGGGAAUUUACCAUAUUUUCUAAAUCAACUAUUAUGUGAGAAAUGCACUGUAGAGGUGAAAAUGAUUAGUAAGGCCCCGUUUGGGUCCAAGGAAUUGGAAUCUAUUUAUGGAGUAGGCUAAUUUAUGUUGGAAUGUGGCAUUCCACAACUUUUCAAAGUUUAGAUAUAAGCCUAUCUUAAAUUCAUGGGGUGGGAGAUGGAAAUUGAUUCUAUAGAUUAUGGUUAUUAGAAUGGAAUUCAAUUCUUAUAGCACGCUCUUAGACUCACUUCUCUAUAGUAGAAGUGCAGCAUACAAGUAUCUCUCCCAUAUCACCAACUAUAAUAUACAACUAUAUUCCACAUACAAUUAUAUUAGCUUAAUUAAUUUGUGUCUAAAUUAUGAUUAUUAGGAUGGAAUUCAAUUCCAAUGAUCCAAACGGGGCCUAAUAGUAAUAUGUUUGGGUAGAAUCGGAAACGGUCGGAAACGAAAUCAUUUUACCGGAAACGAAGCUUGGUCGGUUGGAAAUUUCCAUCACCCCUACGUGGCGGUUUGUAUGGGCAAAUUUGGUCGGUUGGAAAUUUCCAUCACCCCUACGUGGCGGUUUGUAUGGGCAAAUUUGGUUGCUCCCGUGGGCUCUUCUUACGAUGGGAUUGUGGUGCAAUUUGGAUAGGGAGACAAUGGACAAGGGACUGUAAUUUCCACCACUCAUGUGUGGCGGUUUGUAUGGGCAAAUUUGGUUGCUCCCAUGGACUCUUCUUACGAUGGGGAUUGUGGUGCAAUUUGGAUGGGGAGACAAUGGACAAGGGAACGAGUGACGAUCGUUAAGACAAACAGAUGCUGGCAUCGCAAGAGUACCGCCAAAAAUGAUGAACAAGACAAGACAGUUUAGCUAUUGGGCCUUUCCAACAGUCCAAUUUUCAUUUUCACCAAGCAACAUAUAUAAUCAGCGUUCCAUCACCCUCUCUCUCAAAAAAAGCCAGCGUUCCAUCACCCUCUCAAAAAAAAAAAGUCAGCGUUCCACCAGGUCCUGGGUGAACCCUGCUCAACAAGGACCAUAUGGCUUUUUUUAAUAAUAUAAAGGACCAUAUGGUUGAAUUGACCACAGGAAAAACUGCCGGAGUCUGAGUAUGUAUACACUAGCAAUUACGUUAUCCUCCCUCCCCACUCCCCAGAUUUGUAUGAAAAAUGAGAAAACACGCUCCAGUUGUCAGUCCAAGCCUUAACUUCAUCUUACAGUUAAUCUCAGGUAUACCUCAAUCGGCGGAUUCGUUGAUCGCACAAUCUCACGAUCAGUUAGAUGGCCUGCUGCCCUGCUGCAAAACAAAUAUGAGAAUAGAAAUAAUUCCAUAAUGUUAUAUCCCAUGAACAGGCAGUACAGUACAUAAGCCUCGAUAAAAUGAACUCCUUUUUAUUUAGCAACACGCUAAAUAAAGGACCCUCUGUAUUGUUUCCACUUUCUCAGUACAGGGUACUGCCACGCCAUUUUUAGGAAAUGCAUAUUUUACCAGCUCACAUUUCUCAUGGCAGACUAACUACCGCCAUAACAGAUCUAUGUGUACUAGGGAACAACAUGACAAAUGCAAAGAGCAUUAGGGAUUACUUGUUUUGCCUUCUAACCCAAAUGCAAAAUGCAUCUGAACAGAUAUCAGCAGAUUUCUCUUCCCACAAGCAAACUCAUUAUCCUCCUUUCACAAAAAAUUGUCUAGCUGCACACCAAUGGGGCCCUUACUUCCCCUUGCCAUUCUCAGUCCAGACGCUGUCCCAUGAGCUGUUGGUAGCUUUCGGUGCCUCAACAAACUGCUGGCUUGUUCCCUCCAAUGGCGGAGCUCCACUGCCCUUAACACCACCCUUCUUUGGUUUUGUUUUGAUCCCCAGCAAACGUAAAACAAAUCUUGCAAGCUCACCAUAAAGCAUUCCAGCCCGAUCACAUAGCUAUGAAGAUAAUAAUGUGGGAUCAGGAAAAAUAAAAGAAUAUACUCGAAAUAAGUUUAACAGGUACAGUAGAGAAAUAUUAGUCAAAAGAUACCUGCAAAAGUGCAGUAAUGAACAUGUGGAAUGCCUGAGUGUUCUGGCUAACCAGGAAGCUAACCCGCCCACAGAAAUUUACAACACCAUGCAUCUGUAAUUAACAAAAAUAAAUAUUUUUGAGAAUGGUGAGUAGGAAAAAAUAUGUUUUUAAAUCAACUGAUGCAAAGCAAACUAUAUGCAAUCGCUACAUAGAAUUUGAUUUUGGAUUACUAGCAAAAAUGCGUUCCCAUGAGAAAAGAUAAAAUAGAAAAUGCGUGAGCUUUAUCAUGUGUAACAAUCAUGACAUGCCAGGGAAUACAGGGUACAGACGUAAACUAAGUUCUGGAAAAAUAUUUCAAAACGAGAUUAUCACCAGGUUAAGGACAGGAAAGCACUACAUGCUCAGCUGUUGUGGAUGAUCAAUUGAAACUAAUCAAUAUCUACAUCAACAGUAAGUUAGUAAACAUAUAUUACCACUCGUAGGAAGGACACCCAGAAUCCAGGAGGUGGUGCAGGAGGGCCAAAUGAAUUUGGACCCUGAUUGUAAGGACCCAUGCCCAUGCCAUAACCACCAUAGGGUCCUCCCGUUCCACCGUUAUACAUUGGCCCACCAUAACCUCCAUACGUAGUACCAUAACCUCCUCCAUAACCUGAAUACAUGUUGUUUCCAUAGGUCCCAUUAAAUCCGCCAUAAGAGCUAUACAUAUUAGAGCCAUAACCUGCAUUUUUAUCAAAAGCUUAGAAAACAUACUGGAACCAUAACAUGCAUUUCCAUUGAAGGUUACAUAUUGAGAUAAGCGAAUAUCUGAUGAAAUGUGCACAAAAUUAUCAAGUACCCCCAUAAGAAUUUCCAUAGCCUUGCUGCUGCCAUGGCCUUGGCGGAACAGGCCUUGAGAUGUUGCUGGUUACAUUGGAAGUGACAUUGUUCCCUGUAGCAGAAACAAUUUCUCCAUGCUUCGCUGUCCCAGAAGCUUCAACAACUUCAUUAGUGGUACCUCCGGAUGGGGGCUUAAAAGGUGCUGGACCAGAUGAAGCUCCCGCACGUUCCCACGGCUUUGGUGGCAGAUUACUACCUGGCAAUCACAUCCAUGGACAACUUUUCGCUAAGCUUACAAUGACAAACAAAGACAGUGCUAGGCACACAUUGAAAAGAAAUGUGAAGUGGUACCCAUAAGACUAUGAUAAUACAGACUGGGGACCAAGUAAAUUUCCUAUUUCUUUAACGAAAAAGAUAAUGCUACAAUACUGGCUGUGCAAUCAAAACAGCAGGCACUAAUUCAAACCCUGAUCCCUUAUUUCCUACAUGAAAAACAAAAAAAACUAACAACCAUGGUGAGACUUCUAUCUUUUAGUUCCACAACAUGUAGGUAACGUAUCUCACAGGUGUGCCAUGUCCUGAUGUCCAUGACUAAUACAUAGAAGGACAGAUAACAUUAAACCAUGGAUCACCAGGAACUGGAAUUAUGAACUGUAUGGAUUGAAUGAACAAGAGCCGCAAUCAAAUCAUCACGAAUUGCAGUUUUCUACAAUAGAUUAGCUUGUUAACAUAACACACCUAUAUGAAUUGGAAUUACAGUUCCAUCAAACCCAAGAUACCAGCAAGCUUCCAUCCUGCAAAGCCGCCCUAUAUCCAUGACUUUUGACAACAUAACAAACACCUACAAAACUUCCUGCCCUAUGUUUUAGAUUAGUACUACACUAGUACUUGGCAGGUUGACCCUUCCUCGAAUCCUCCUCCCAAAUGAUUCAGAUGGAUUACAUCCAGCAAAGAAACACCAAGAGGCGAAAUGCUGGCAUCAUGACAAACUCAAGACUAAAGCUCAUAAUCACAUCCUGUUUUCUCAAUGAAAUAAAGGAGCAAUCCAUCAUAAGCUAAAUAAUCCGUCAAGCUUGACAUUUUUUUUUCGAAAUUCCUUCGCCCUAUAGCUCAUGCGACGCUUGCUGCAAAUUCAAAAGCUGUUCCCAAAAUGACCCCAAAAACCCCCACCCAGCGGCGCCCCAGCCUAACCGACCGGGACGCACCCACCGCCACGGAACUCCCAACCCAAUCGCGAGCCAAAACAACCGAUCGGACCGAAAUCUGGCACGAAUUCGAUCGAUUCCCCACCCCAAUCCCCGCCGACCGGCUGCAUAGAGCCAGCUACGCGCGCAACCGAUCACUCAGACGCACAUGAAAAAAAGAAGGGGGGAAGACGCCGCGACGCGAUCAAGGAUAGAAGACGAACACGAACCUGCUGCCAUGGCGUGCGCCGCGCGGCUCCUGGUUUCGGCUCGAUCAGGCGGGCGGGCGGCCGCGGUUUUCCCCUCACCCCCUCGAUUGCUCCGUCCGUCGGCGGUGACGCGGGGUCGCAGUGGGAGGAGAGGGGAAGAGUCAAGCCGAGCGAGCCGCCCACGCGGCGGACCGGACGGGCGACUAAUCCUGGCUCCGUCCGCGUCCUCGGGGGUGUUUCGGCGAGGCUGACCACCGGAGCCGAGUCGAGUCGUGUCGCCGCGACCCGGUCACGUUUUCCUCCCGGUUUGGUCAAGCCGCCCAGGGAAGGACGAGAUCGGACUCGACUUGGGCCAACCUUGGUUGAGGCCGGUGGUGAAACCGAAGAAGUCAGGAUCGGGGCCCAAAAAUUAUGGGGACCAUACCGAUCUGGGCUGAAAAGAUAAAUUGGCCUUAAAGAAGGCCACUUAGCCUGGAGUUUUUUUUAUAGACAGCUAACAAUUCACUUAUUCCGGUCAGAAAUACUUAGGAUCCCAGUUCGAUAAAAGAAAAAUACUUAGGAUCCGCACAUGUUCAGACAAACUUUGAAUAUUUUUUUGUUAUCUAUAGCUUUUAUUAUGCUUCGUUUGAAAAUACAUGAAUAUGCUUACACUGUACUAAGAACAAGAAAAAAAAGGCAAAAUUAACAUAUAGAAGUUAGAAAUUCUCACAAAAAGAAGAAGUGAAAAAUUCCAUCCUCCUAACAAUGCACAAAAAAGAAUCACCAAUCUUUCUUUAGGACGUAGUUACAUAUGCAUUCUCCUGCAAAGUAUGCAAUUGUUUCACCGGAAGGAAAUACUCUAGCAUAACUCCACCUUUUUUCGGCGAUCAUGCUUCAGCACGUUUUUCAUAAGAGAAAAAGAAUUACAAUGACGCAGCUAUAAGAGAAAUUACCAAGCCAUGCACAAGUUCACGGAGACGAACCCUUUUAAAAAAAAACAGAGAGAAAAGGCCGAUAAGCACACGAUGGCGGCCUGGCGGGAAAAAGGCUCUGAACUGAAAUUCCAUCUCCACCGCAUUGGCCUAGGUAAAGGUAGGAAAAUUCAAGCGCAAAGACAUAAAGCAGAAAUGUGAUCUCUGAUCAGAUACACGAAUCGCACGAAUUGACAGUGAUGAUUGCGAUUGACAGCGAGAUGAUGUUGUACGACACUCCAUAAUCUAAUCCGGAAGAUUGUACUGGAAACUUAACUGGGACAGCGUGUUCGCCUGCCCUUUUUAGUCAACUUAUCAGCCGUACUAGUCGUACUGCAGCUUAUUUUCUCUCACAUAACAAUCAGCAGCUUAUGUCUCUAGAAUACUUUGCGUUGGCUGCGGUGUCAACUAUCGACCUGAACCUGCGCUUUCAAAUAAGUCAUUUCAAGAACUAAGCUUUCUUUCACCGGCUCUUAGUAGCGUGUCAGAUAGCGUUGGGUCUGAAAUCAAUUAUAGUUUUGGAAUCCAAAUCCGAGCCAAUGGCAGCAAAUACCAUAUGCAGUUACGCUUAGAAGCAACGACUACUUUGAAUUUGCACUGCAGCGCUAUGCGAGGUUUAAUCUUCCUUCAGAUCUAUUCGCAGUUUCGCACAAUUGUACAACUACAAUGCCGCUAGCUGUGCUCUGGAUGUCAUCACCACAUAUCACAUAGGGGGCUCCUAUCUAUCUAUGGGAAGAUAGAUAGGAGAGAUACCUAUAAGCCCAUUAGGCUUAUCUCUUUCCUCCCUUCUUCUUCCCCGCCGAUUCACCACCCCCUGCCGCCUCCUCCACCAUCCUCGGUCGGCGGCCGCCACGCCGCCCGCCCACCGUCCACCACUGUCCUCCACCUUGCCCUUCCUGACCCGACUCAGCCGCUCAUGACCCCCACCGUUGGCCACUGUCCACCGGAUAUCUAGCCCUGCCCGGCCGCCGACGCUCCCGCGCCGCGUUGCCCCCGCCGCCGGCUGAACCGCCACCACCGUCGGACCUGCCGUCGCCGGCCUCCUCCUCCUCCUCUAAGGCUGAUGGCCAUUAGAGCCCCUGAAACCUGGACCCCUAACCUUAAGUACUGCCGGCCUCAACCACUGCCCACGUCCGGCGGCGACCUCACCACCGAGCCGCCUUGCCCACCUCCUGCCCCACCGGCGAGCUGCCUCCUUCCCUAACCUGCUCCGGCGGUGGUGCGACGAGCGACGAGAGAGAUGAGAGGAGGUGAAAGAGGGCGAAGGUGAUCGUGCAGCCCACAGGGCCGCACGAAUCUUAAAGAUUGGAAGAUUCAACCUCUUCCUACCUUCCGGAAGAUGAUAGGUUUUCCAUAUCGCUCAUCAGAGUUCUCUGAUGUAAAUUUUAAAUCUGUCCAUUCCUAUCCGCUUUUCUUUUUAUUACUCUUUGUUUGUUGUUUCUCUCAAGUGAUAGAGGAAGUCUAUGAUGAAUUUUUUAAAGUCAUCUCACUCCUUCCCUAUGGCUCGUAUUUCAUGAUAAGUGGUGGAAGAAAAGAUCUUUUCCAAUUUAUUUGUUCAAUUCUGAAAAAAGAAAAGGAAGAAAGGGAUUUAUGGGGACUGCCCCCUGUAUCUCUUAGUGUAUAUUGUAAGAAUAAUCAAACUAUUCCUUACAACACUCUGACACAUUUACGUCCUCACAAAUAAUGAUCGUUGUAGUCAUAACCGUAGAAUAGAUCCUAAUUAAAAUGCAUACAUAUUUGGUUCAUACACAAUUGGCACGGUAAGAGGAGAUAUAUUUUUCAGAUUAGAGAGGGGCUAUCUAAAGUAAAGGCUCGCGAUAACCGUAGAAUAGAUCCUAAUUGAAAUGCAUACACAUUUGGUUCAUACAUAAUUGGCACGGUAAGAAGAGAUGUAUUUUACAGAUUAGAGAGGGGCUAUCUAAAGUAAAGGCUCGCGAUAACCGUAGAAUAGAUCCUAAUUAAAAUGCAUACACAUUUGGUUCAUACACAAUUGGCACGGUAAGAAGAGAUGUAUUUUACAGAUGAGAGAGGGGCUAUCUAAAGUAAAGGCUCGCGAUAACCUAGAAUAGAUCCUAAUUGAAAUGCAUACACAUUUGGUUCAUACACAAUUGGCACGGUAAGAAGAGAUGUAUUUUACAGAUGAGAGAGGGGCUAUCUAAAGUAAAGGCUAGCGAUAACCUAGAAUAGAUCCUAAUUGAAAUGCAUACACAUUUGAUUCAUACACAAUUGACACGGUAAGAAGAGAUGUAUUUUACAUAUUAGAGAGGGGCUAACUAAGGUAAAGGCUAAGUACUAACUGCCCACCAUCAUGAACUUUCUCCGUUUGAUCUACCCUGUUACACACCCUCACGUCGCGAGCGCCAGGCCCGAUCCUCUGUGGCCACCGGCCCACAUAGCACGAAGCGUCUAGCGACGCGCGCGCUGGGAUUCGGUGAACCGGUGGGCGCGCGGCCUGGUCUCCCUCUUCUUUCCCGCCCGUUCGGCAACUCAACUCGAGGUCUCCGAUAGUGCGGCCGCUCGUCGACCUCGCCAUCCCUUGGUAUCACAUCGUCGCCCCGGCCCGCCCGAACAAUUUCUAUGGCCGGCGUCGGUGCUGCCUCCCUCUCGUGGCCGAUCGCCAUGCCGUCGGCUCACGGCGGGAUUAUUAUCUCGGCGACGCCCGCUGCUACCCGUCGGCUCCGCCGGUCGCCAGGGCCAGCCUCUCGUGCGCGCGCCGCGCUUCUCACGUGUUCCCGUCACUCGCCGCACGCCCAACGCCAACGGCAUGCCGGGCCGCUGACAAAAUGCGUGACGCACGCCGUGGCAAGCGCACCGGAGCCCAAACGGUCCCCGUACGUUGGCACGCUCGUGUGUGGUCCUCGUUUGCGAAGGGAUUGCACAUUUAGCCCAAAAUGUCGUUUAGACGCCAAGGGAAAGAGAGGCCUUUUGGCUUUGGCACCGCGCUAGGAUUUGGAACGGAUAGGUGGACCCCGGAGUCCAACCGCCUCCACUGCCUGGUCCGCGCGGCGACCCCGCGACCCAUGCCGUCAUCACAUAUGACAUCGACCCCGGCCGAUCUUCUGUGGCCAGUCCCGUGCUGCGCGCACCGCCUUAUUCCCUUAUAAAAAAAAACUCGCGUAUUCGCUGUGGCAAAACCUGUGUGACGCAAGCCGUGACACCGAGGCGACCGAACGAACCCUCCCGUACGUUCGUGCUCCGGUGCUCGGUUGGCGACGCGUUUCCUCGCGAGCUUUACCUGGAAGACUGAAAGAGUUUGCACUUUGCAGCCGAGAUCUCACAACGUGUGACAUCAUCGCUCCCACACCAACACUGUACCUUCUGGAACCUCCUCAAGCCCUCAUCCCUCUCGAUCCCUCCGUCUCCUAUAAAGCUGGGCCCUCCUCAACCCAUACACCUCCACACAAACAUCAUCUAUCCGCCACCGAUCACUCCCUGCACGCUCACAACCUCAUCACACAGAGAGAAGAGAGAUCAAGAAGAAGAAGAAGAAGCCAUGGCGGGCGAGAAGAAGGGCCUGCAGCUGCUGGACUUCUGGGUGAGCCCGUUCGGGCAGCGGUGCCGCAUCGCGCUGGCCGAGAAGGGCCUCCCCUACGAGUACCUGGAACAGGACCUGAGCAACAAGAGCGAGCUCCUCCUCCGCUCCAACCCCAUCCACAAGAAGAUCCCCGUGCUCCUCCACGACGGCCGCCCCGUCUGCGAGUCCCUCAUCAUCGUCCAGUACAUCGACGAGGCGUUCCCGGGGCAGGGCGCGCCGCUGCUCCCCGCCGACCCCUACGCGCGCGCGCAGGCCAGGUUCUGGGCCGACUACGUGGACAAGAAGGUCUACGACUGCGGGUCCCGGCUGUGGAAGCUCAAGGGCGAGGCCCAGCAGCAGGCGAGGAAGGAGAUGGUCGAGAUCCUCAAGACGCUGGAGGGCGCGCUCGGCGACGGCAAGUUCUUCGGCGGCGAGGCGUUCGGCUUCCUCGACGUCGCGUUCGUGCCCUUCACGGCGUGGUUCCUCACCUACGAGAGGUACGGGGAGUUCAGCGUGGAGGAGGAGUGCCCCAGGCUGGCGGCGUGGGCCAAGCGCUGCGCGGAGAGGGAGAGCGUCGCCAAGAACCUCUACCCGCCGGAGAAGGUCUACGAGUUCGUCGGCGGCAUGAAGAAGAGGCUCGGCAUCGAGUAGUGGGGAUCGAUGAGGAGUGAUGAAGGUUGCAGGUUCCAGUUGCAGCUGCUUCGCAUGUAGACGCGUGAUUGUGUUGUAGUGCUGCGUCAUUGGGUUGGUGUUGGUGGUGGCGUCUGUGAUGCAUGGACGCUCCUGUUCGUACGUGUCUUCGUUGUCGGUUGAGUUGUUUGUGUCAUUGGCGUGAGUCCGUGUUCGGUGUCCCGAUCCCGAAAAUGGCCUCCUGCACUCUAGCGUCCUGUACCAGAACUGAAUAAAGGUUUCCAUGGAUUUCUUGGUGUUAUAUCAAACGUCUUCAAUUCGUCGCCUCACCUUUUUGUGUUCUUGUAGGAUGCUUUUUGCUUCGAGAUGUGCUGGCAGCGCUCUCCAAGAGCGCGUGUUUACGAUGUGCUUGCCGGCUCUGCCAACUGACGAUGCCGGAAAAAAGGGCCGUGAAUCUACGAGAGGACCCAGACCCAGUCUCAAACGACAUGUCUCAAGAAAGGGCCGUGAAUCUACGAGAGGACCCAGACCCAGACCUCAAACAUGUCUCAAGAUGCGGCCCAACACCUCUGGUUUCCCUCGGGUUCUGCCACGUCAGCGCUGACGGUCCAAGUGACAGCAAAAGAGCUCGUAUGAUGAUGAUCGUGUCAUUUUCUUUGUCGCCACCAGACAGCCGGCGUGCUCCCUCGCCUUCUCCGUCCUCCUCCCCGGCUCCCCGCAGGCCACAAUAAAAAAGGAGGGAGACCCCCGGCCUCGACCUCCCGGUCUCGCCGGGGCAGCACCGCGUACCGUCACAAUACAUGGCAGGCGUCAAGAGCGACGGCAGCGACAGCGGCCUGGUGCUGCUGGACGUGUUCGGCAGCCCGUUCGCGCAGCGCGUGAGCAUCGCGCUGGCGGAGAAGGGCCUGGCCUACGAGCGCGCCGAGCAGGACCUCACCGCCAAGAGCGACCUCCUCCGCCGCUCCAACCCCGUGCACGGUAAGGUCCCCGUGCUCCUCCACGACGGCCGCCCCGUCUGCGAGUCCCUCGCCAUCCUCCAGUACCUCGACGAGGCCUUCCCGGGGACGCCGCCGCUCCUCCCGCCGGUGUCCGACCCCUACGCGCGCGCGCGGGCGCGGUUCUGGGGGGAGUACGCGGACCGGCUCCACUUCUGCGGGAAGCGCCUGUGGCUGUCAGCGCCUGGUGGCGACGGCGGGGAGGCGGAGCCCGGGGCGCGGGCAGAGAUGGCGACCGUGCUGCGCGCUCUGGAGGCCGAGCUCGGGGAGGGGGACUUCUUCGGUGGGGCGGCGUUCGGGUACGUGGACGUCGCGGCGGCGCCGUUCGCGGCGUGGUUCCUCACGUACGAGCGCCACGGCGGGCCCAGCGUGGCGGAGGAGUGCCCGGCGCUGGCGGCGUGGGCGGCGCGGUGCUCGCGCCGGGAGAGCGUCGCCGCCAACGUGUACCCGCCGGAGAAGGUGCACGAGCUCGUCCAGGAGUACAGGCGGUGGAUGCUCGGCCGAAAAUGAGUUGACCGCGGUCUGACUGGUCUGACUGGAUGGCCAUUCGCCUGUUUCUUUCUUUCUUUCUUUCUUUCUUUGGGACAGUUUGUGUUCGACCGUUUGGAGAGUUUGGUCAACUGAAUAAAGUGGCGUGCAUUCUGAAUUUCAUCCGGACAUGACGAUGAGUCGAUGACGCUAUGCAGAUACGCCGAUUUUAUCAGCUUUCCACACUGAAAUUACUCAACAUCACGACGAAAUGCAGAAUACAGUUUCUACUGUCCUAAAAGUCAUAGUCCACACUCUACAGCAUGUUGGUAGUGACAACAAAAUCUGUAUCGGGUUCAAGACCUGCACUUUUCAGGUCAGAAAAGAGCAUUCCAGCAACACCUCUGGAUCAGGAUUAUCUCGCAAACCAAACCAAGAAACUGUGACCACAAUGCUUGUCAAAUGAACUUGUUCAUCCAAACCUGAGAACAGACUGUUCAGCACUCACUCGAGGGGAGCAUCAAUCCACAGCAAAAGUUAGACGCGGAGAGGACUAGAACUGCGAUCACGGGGCACACUUACAACUCUUGUUCAAAAACUCUCAUCUCCCACAAAAUUUGUACAACAGCAUCUAGGGCGGGAAAGAAAGAAAAAAAAUGAAGCGAAGGAUUGUUUGAUCAAUGGCAGUAGGGUUGGGGGUUGACGAUGGCCAUAGCACCUCUAAAGGAUGAAUUAUUGCUGGAACAGUUCCCAGCAAUUGGAUGCCUUCAGUUUCUGCAGGUUGACAAACAAAGAAGAUUAAGAUUCUGACCAAUAUGUACUGCAAAUGCUGAGAAAAGCGUAUCUUGCGUGAGGACAAGAUGAUGGAUACUACAUACUUGUUUAUGCGGUAAUAUACCAUUACCUUUGUAUGCAUAUGCAAUCUGGAUGUACAACGAAUAGCAAUAGCCACAUAACGAGGACAUAAAAAUUUGUUGAAGUAGGGACCAUUUUUUUAAUAUUGACUAGCAUAUAGGGUACUGCUCAAGGGAAUGUAUCUAUUAAUGAAAUGCCAUCAGGUUUAAAAUACUGUGGCACUUCUGUCAUAUUUCUUUGGAUGAUUUCACUACCUAUUAAUUCCGUUCAAAAAUCACUUAAACCUAUUUAAUGAACACCCAGAGUAUCAGUCCAGAAAAUGCAUUAAAACAUGUUAUUCCAGCACAAUCCUGUCCUAACAGGCAGGAAAAUUAAGGUCUCAGAUGACUAAACUAAAUAACAAACAAAAUAACAAUUUCAGGUGGUUAGGAAGUAUAACAAACAGCAAGAUCGUGUUAUGCAGUCCUGGUCUCCAACCAGGAGGCACUGUUACAGCAUCUGAUGGAAAGCUACAUUCAACCAAUAGGCCAGAAGUGUCUAGCUCAAUUUAGAAGUUUGGAACUCUGGAUAGCUCAGUACGAGCAGAGCACCAGAAAACAGAAAUGGUGGCAUAUCCAAUCUCAGACAAAAAGGACUGGUCCUUGACGACCAUUACCUACUAAUAGCACAAUUUAACAGAUUUCAACACAAUAGAACAUGUAGAGAUGAACAUUGGUUUGCAUGGACAAUGAAGAAAUUAAAUGGGGUUCCUUCUUAGUUCCUUACCACGCUGAGUGGUCUAUAGGAAAUAAAAGGGCAGUUAAUGUCUUGAAAAUGAUAUCACCAAAGUCACCAAACUACAAUAAUAUUCAAGAAGACUUUUCUCUCAAUAGCGUACACUAGCAUUUUGUUGGUACCAAGACUCUAGUCAUGAUUUGCCGGGAACAACGUACCAUGUACACUUUUUUCUUGUGUUGGGACACAAGUAGCAGUAGUACUAACUGGUCAAUGGUCAUACAAAAGUACAGUUCAGUGUCAACAAUAUGAGGGUCCUAGUCGUGUACACGAGCCCUAAAUUCUUGAGCUUAAAUUUAAAAAUUAUUUGAGAUCACACAGCAAGUCUGAAGCAAGUACUAUGGAGCUUUGGCUUUCAGUAGCUCUAUUCUUGAGUCUACAUACACCCAGUAAUCAAAUCCCUACUAGCAUGUUUUGCAAACAGAUCACCAAGUAGGUUCGUAGAUCAAAAGGAGUAAGGCGGUUUCGCACUAAAAUGAAACAGCUUACGAUUUGUGAUUCUAUGAUUAGGGUUUACGCAGACUGUUUCUGUUUUCAAAUUCCUUAUGUCUACAGCCAAAAUGGGCACUCAAAAUUUAUUAUCAUAUUUCAGUGACACAUUGUAACUGAGAUCAUGUACCUCUACAAGUAGAAACAAAUGCAUGUUAGAUCACAAACCUAACACCCCAGAUCAGUAGAUAACACCAGUAGUCAUCCAAAGGACUGAAACCUCUUAUUAUGGUAAGCUGCUACAGUACAAAUCAGGUGACUGUAUUACUACUAGAUAUUAAUUCAAGACUUCAUUUAUUGGGGCAAGAGAAAAUCUGAUAUGAGCAGAAACUUGCUUCAGUCAAGAUGUUCUGCACAUUUAGCUAUCUUCUACUCCUACAUGCAAAGGUAGUGUUCGAUCCCUUUCCAGCAGCGCGACGUAGCUACAGCUCACAACAAUUUAAUACAAUAAAAUGCAAUGCAUGCCAAUCAGAAGCCAUGUGAUCAUGCACAAUCCUCUCCAAUGAGGAGCAAACGACACCUGUUAGGCUAGAUCAUGCAAAGCCGAGGUAAAUGAAGUAGGAUGACGCACUGGAAUUCUGGCACCCGUCAACAGGAACAGAACAAGGUUAGUGUUUUACGGGAUUUAUGGGCACGAGACUACCUCGAGCGCUACGAAGAAGGUAAUCAUGACAAAAUGACGAUUUGAACACAUUACGGGAGACAGAGACAAAAAGCUUGCGAAUUUUGAGAGAUUAUCAACUUACCGUUGAAGGAUGCGCAAUCAGUUCUUGCUCUUCUCCUUCAUGCCGGAGUGCCGGAACCCAUCCCACAGCUGUAACGCCGCGGACGCGGUCAGCUGGUUCUCAGAUGCCGGAUGCGCCGCGGCGGCGGCGUGGCCGAACAAGAACGGGCCGUCCAGCCUCUGGAGCUGCUGGUGGUGAUAGCCUGAAAAGUUAGACUGGGAAUUGGACUGAAGGGUCCCCCUAUUGGCACCCAAGAAACCCGAGGACAUGGAGAAAUUGAGGCUGUAGUCUCCGGCGGAAGCGGAGGACGCCGCCAGAGCGUCCUGGCCGAGCGAGAAGUGAGGCAUCUCGACGGAACUGGUGAAGUUGAAGGGCUGCGCCGGGACCAUGCCGAACGGAGGCGCAUUGCCGAACUUGAUGGGGGCCGAGAAGGCGUGCGUCGACAGCCCGUGCGCACCUUUCCCCGGGUGCGCAAUGCCGACGCAGUCGGCGGCGGCCGCCGCGGAGACGUUGGGUUGCUGCUGCUGCCAGGAAUGCUUGUGCUCGGCGGCGCUAAUGGAGCCGGCCGAGGCCACCCCGGUGAGCAGCUCGGUGAAGGACGCGGCCUGCGCCGAGGUGCUAGCCACGGUGACCUCCCUGUCCCGCGCGGCGCCCCCGCGGCCGUCGGAGCGCGAGAGGGAGAGCUCGGACCCCUUGCUUGUCUCCGAUGUGCUGCUGCCCCCGGAGUGCUGCUGCUGCUGCUGCUUGACCUUGUUGCCGGCAGCAUCCGCGUCGGCGGGCCCGGGGAGGGCGGCGAAGGCGGCCGGGUCGAGCGCGGGGAGCUUGUCGAUGGCGUCGGAGGCGGCGUUGAUGAGCCACUCGAUGGCCUUGCUGGGCUGGUCGAAGCCGAGGCGGUCCUGCAGGUCGUAGAACUGGAUGGCGGUGGGCACCGACAGGCGCACGCGGCGGUCGCGGAUGCCCUUGGCCGUGUACACCUUGCUGUGGCGGUCCUUGCCCCCGCUGGCCCGCACGCGGUAGAUCCGCGAGCCCGCCCCCGGUCCCUGCGGCGGCGGCAGCAGCGCCGGCGGCUGGCCCCACGCCGCCGCCGCCGCAUCCGCCUCGCUCCCGCUCCCCCUCACGCCGCCGCCGCGGCCGCGCUUGGCGCCCUGCUGCUGGGACCGGCCCGGCGCCCCGUCCCCCGCCCCCGCUGCUCCCCCGUCGCCCACGGCCUCCAUCCCGUCGCGCCGCUGCUCAUGCGCUUGCGGCUUGCCCGCCUGCCCCGCGCGUGCUCAGCUCGUCGCGAGAGGAAUGCGGCGUCUUUAUGGAGGCGUGGCGCGUGGGCUGGCGCCUGGCGAGGCGCGUUUCGGCUGGGUGCCAGAGGGAGCGAGGGGGAGUGAAACGACCCGAAUUACCAUUUACGAGAAUUCAAGCCGCACUUCGGUGAUACUUCCACUGGAACUAUCACGUGCGAACUUCUAUAGUACAAAUUUAUACUUAAUAUAAAAAUAUCGAAUAGCAACAGAGUAACAAUAUCAUCAAUAUCAAGUACAACACUCGUCACAUACCGGUACAAGUCCAUUAGGAUUGAAUCAUGAAAGGUAAACCAUCUAUGCAACAGUAACACGUAGCGUAACGAACAACAACUCCAAAGGUGACUUGAACAAGGGACCAUCUCUAAUCUUCACAUUCGUCGUUGUCGAAGUCGUAGUCGGGCUCCGACCCUGAAAAGCCACCAUCUACACGAGAAGCGGAUAGGCCAUGUCAACUUCCAAAAGCAGCAAGCUAAGAAAACGGGAAAAAUAAUACUAUAUGCAUGGUUCAACCUAUAUAUGGUUGUAAUGAUACAUGCAGUAAUCAAGGAUGUAUCAAGCAAUACCAUCCCCGAGGUCAACACCUCAUAUCAAGGAAGUCGUCACAAACCACCAGAUCCUUAACCUAAGAAUCCAGCACCCAAACAUACUAGGCGAUAUGAGAGCUCCUUCCCCUCACAUCUCAACGGUAAACGCCGGCCUAUCUCAAAAAGGGAAGGUAGAAGUAUAAUAAAGUCUAGUCAGAGUAACAGAUUAAAGGACUGUCCGUACCAGUGGACACGAACUAUUCCUAUAGGUUAUACACUCUGCAAAGGUUGUACAUCUGUACCCGCCCAGCUAGAGCCUGAACGGUAGCUAGUCAUCCAGACCCCACCUAACGGCAGGAGCCCUAGUAGGUGGCUAGCACUCUCCUAUUUCCUCGAGUCUUGUAGUGUCUUCGACUGAAGGGCACGCCGUCACCAAUCGGAGACCUCAAAGUUGUGAAACCUACCCACGCCGGGGUGCAGUCUGGUCGGAGCAGGUAAACGCCUCGAACUCCUUACACUUAUCCUCCAAUCCGUUUACAGGUUGAGCACUAUCCACCACUAGUCUCGGAUCGAACCCCGCCCAUAACAAGGCGAACGGUAUGUACGUAUAUAGUCCAAAGAAACAUGGUUAUACUGACUCGGUCCUUAGGGGCCGAGAGGGAGCACUCAACUCCACAACAAUAUGUGCUGAAGCACCUGCAACGUACAAGUACGCCACCUGCUCCUCAGUAUCAAACGAGAUACCCACCACCAUAGGCGCAGAGGGUGGAGAGAGACCAGAAUGUUCUCUUCUAGCAAGGCACUCCUUAGUACCAACCGCGGCUCGCUCCUACCAAAACACGUCAAGGGAUCACACUCACCCAGAACACACGCGAGAGUGUACAAGGAAUUCCAUCCACAAAUCCAUGGUAUACAUCCAUCUACAACUCAAAAGCAUGUAUAUGGAAUAUAAGUAAGAUGGAAUAGCUAGGGGUUUGUAGCUAGCCCACAGGUAGGUAACAAGGAAAACAUGAUAAACAAUUAUCAAGGCAUGACUAGAAUCAUGGGCUAUGCGGUCAAUCAUCAUCCAAGCAUCAUAAAUAAAGCGCUAGUAACUAAGCAUGUAUAGGAUCUAUAUGAUUGAGAGUGACAUGACACCUUGUCCGUAGUCGUUGGGAUCCUCCUCGGUGUAGUCGGGGUCUUGAGGGUCUUUCGGAUCUUUGCUCGGGUCUGAACAGAACGAGAUACAGUGCAAUAUAAACUAACUCGCAUUACAUCUAGGCAAAAACUCCAGGAAAGUUAAAUUUAGAAGAUCCAAAUAACAUCAAACUAGCUACAAACAGCACGGGCUCGAUUUUACGAAUUUAAUGCAACUGGUUUCAUAUUUUUUGGAGUUCAAAUGAAUUAGUUAUGAAUUUUUAAAGAUUAAAUGAUUUAUUUAAUUAUUUAAUUAAUUUUGAGAAAACAUUAAUUAGGGUGACACGUGUCAGCUUCUGGUUGCGCCACAUGGUAGCAUGGGAGGGUGCCACGUGUCGGCUGCUGGUUGCGCCACAUGGUAGCACGGGAGGGUGCCACGUGUCGGCUGACAUGGUCAACGAUCAACAUUUUGACCGGUCAACGUUGGCCGGUCAGCAGUCAACUGGACCCACCGAUCAACCGGUGGGUCCCACUGGUCAGUGGGCCCCGUGUGUGGGCCCGGCCCAUGCCACGUUCGAGCCACGUGGCUCCACAUGACAGCCAUGUGGCCCAACAAUACUACAUGGCACUGCAACGUGGCACACACGUGGGCGCAGGUUUAGCCUAGGAUCCGGUGUGCCGGUCGGAUUCCGUGCACCACGCUCGUGGAGCCGAGCGUGUGGUGCUCACCUGAUGGGUAGGCACGGCAGCGGGUGGCUGCGAGGCGGGUACGCGACGUUGUGGCUAAGGGUGCAUGGUGACCGCGCCCACGACGUCGGGGCACGGAACAACGUCGCGGUGCGACAAGGCUACAGGCAGCGCGGCGUGGCUGCGGCCCGGCCACGACGACUCGAAGGCCAGACAGGGGUGCCAAAGCGGAGAGAAGAGGGAGCAACGGUGCUCACGGUGGGGCGGAGGAGUAGAGCGCGGCCGGCUCGGUGGUGACUCGCGGUACGGCGAUGAUGGCGGAGUGUCCUUUGCUUCGCUCCGGUGAUGGCUGCUCCAAUGGACGGCGGCUCCAGCUCCUCCCCACGGCGGCGGCCUCCUCCUCCUUCCGGCGUGGCCUCCCUUCCUCUUUUCCUCCCUUCUCCUGUUUCUUUCCCUCCUCCAUCUCUCCUCUACGGUGAGCAUGGCGGCGGCAAGGGGAAAACCCCAGAUGGAUGGCGAGAGGUCGGGGCUCUGCCUCCUUCUAUAGUGGCGCAGGGCGUGGCUAGGACUAGGGUUUGGGGGUGCGGCGCCGGUGAGCGGGCGGUUGAGAUGCAGCGGCAAGGCAAGGCGGCCAUCCGCGACUUCCAGCACAAAAGCGGAGGAGCGGGGGAGGGCAUGGGCGCAUGCAGGAGCGGUAGCGCUUGCCAAUGCGGACGUGGCCGACGAGCCCGUCCCAUCAGACGCGCACGCACCGCGUUCGAUGCAAUGUGGAAGAAGGGGCAACAGGCGCGCGAUGGCUGACUGGCGGGGCUCACGUGUCAGUGGUGGAAAGGAGAGGGAGAGGGUCGUGGCGGUCGGGCCGGCCGACGGGCCUGGCUAGGCCAGGCCAGUAGGCUGCUGCGGGAGAGGUUAGGCAGGCCUGGCCGGUUGGUUGCGGGCUGGCCUAGUGGGUUAGAUGUUAGGUUAGGUUUUAUUUUUAUUUAUAUUUAGUUUGAAUUUUAAGUUAGAUUCAAAAUUCAAACACACUCAUGUUUUAAACCGAACAAGAUCGAAAAAGAGCCAAAUCAAACUAUCAUAUAAGUUCUAAAAUUAAAUUGAGAUUUAAUUUAUUAGGAAAUUUCUAGAAGAGGGUAGAAUUUAUCUUCUAUUUUCAAAUGAGUAGACAAUUCAAAUAAAUUUUUUUAAUUUUUUGAAAUUUUACUCAAUUUAAUAUUUCAAUUUUUUUAAAUAUUACAGGGUGGCUGCGGCUGCUUGCUGGAAUGCGGCAGGGCAGCCGGCAACGGCUGUGGCUGGGCUGUGUGUUCCGGCGUGCUCGUGCGCGCUGGCCGCGUUGGCCAGGCUGCUGCUCGAGCGCCGCGAACGGUCUUAUCCCUACCCGGCCCUUGCUGCCACGCCUGCCCAAAUCGCCCCUACUCGUCUCGCGCCACCUUUGCCUCGGUGUUUUUUUUUCGCCGGUUCUCUCUCUCUCUCCAGCUCCCGAGUGACACACUCUCUCCACUCACGCGCUGGGCGCUGCGGCGCGGCAGAAGCUGCAGAGGGUAGCGGGAGACAGCGGCGGCGGCAGGCUUUAGGGGGGCCCGGCCCGGUGUCAGAUCUGCUGCCGUCUGCGGCACUGCGCUGCUGCCCUGCCCCUGCCCCUGCCCGCGCGCACUUGUCAACCAACGGCUCGCCUCUCGCGCGCUGUGCUAGUGUGCUCGGGACCGGGGGCCCGUACGGCGUGUAGUGCCGUGCCGUGCGAAACGGAUAGUGUUUUUACCGCUAGCCUUUUCCUGCCCUGGCUCUUUCGGUGCUCACGGCGGCAGAUCUCGCGCGCACGCCGACGCCGCGGUGCCGUCCGUCCCUACUGAGCAAUGACCAAUGAUCGGUGAUCCCGUCCUCGGGUCAAUCAGUCAAUGACCCGAGCCGUGGUCCUUUUGUGGUGGAUGGAAAAUGCACGGAGAGCCGGUUUUGAUCGAGGAAAGCACGGAAUAUAUGCCAUUUGGAGUCGGUGUUCGGAGGUCAUUUAAGCAUUCCUAGGCUAUAAGGUGCCACAAACAACACUGGUUCUAUAGACGCCUGGCUGUAUAGUUGGUUGCCGUCUCAAAAGAAUGCACCGGGAAAUAGAGGCGUUAGGUAGCUCUGCGUGCUUUAUUUCAAAUUUCCUAAUCGUCUCACGAGAUAGGUGGGCAUAGAGGUUAAACAACAAGUGGCGUCGAACGAAUGGAUGAUAAGUAAAACUUAGAGGGACGUGCAUGCAUUUUCUUUUGAUUUGGACGAUACUGCUGGCCAGGCAUUGCUUCCUGCACGACAGCUCUCAAGAAGAAUGCGGAGAGACAGAUCCGUUCUUAUUUUCUGCAUGCGUUGUAAGAUGCCUGCAUAGAUUUGAGUUGUAACUUUAGAGCAGUUGUCGCCUGGUAUACUUUCCUUUUAUUCGGACGUUACCAUACUAGCCAGCCAUUGCUUCAUGCAUGACAAUUGUCAGAUUUGCACGAACAAAUGGAGAAGAAUGCGAAGAUGCGGAUCCGUUUUUAUUUUCUGCAUGCGUCAUACACGCCUAGAUGGAUUUGAGUUGUAGUUUUACGAGCAAGAGCAAUUGUCUCUUGUGGGGUCCUACUUCCUAGAAUCUAGAGGGUGAGUGCAUGAUUACAUAGGUGUGCUUAUGUCUUGUUCUAAUGGACCUAUUGCCAAAAUAGCGUUCGGCCUACGUGCAUAUGUAACCGUCAAUUUAAGCAUUAUGCGUGCUACCUUUUUUUUUGUUUGUGAUUGUUGUGGACUCAAGGAUUAAAAGGAGAUGAGUGUCGAGUUGUGGUUUUGUUUUCUCCCGCCGCAUGCAUGCAUUAUCCAGUACCGUAUCAAUAAUCUACGAGGCACUGCAAUGACCAAGUGUAGACUUAUACAAAUUUAGCAUAGAUCCUUAGGUUGAUCCAUUGUAGUCGGUGCCACUUGUGGAUGUGCAGCAGCGUUUUUCAUCUACCGGUGCAUCGCCUAUUCUCCAUAUGCCCAUUGUGCCUUUAGAAAAAUGAAAAAACAAAUCAUCAUGCUAUGUAGUACAAAAGUGAAAAGUUUAAGGUCAAUUGAAAAUUUGAAAUAGCAAAUGCCACUUAUAUUCUAAAAGAAUUGAAGCAAAUCGAUGUCGGUCAUAUAAUUGGUUGUAGUCCAAGGAGUGGAUAUACCAGAAAAGAGAAAUUUUAGGUGGCCUUGCGUGCUUCAUUUCAAACUUCACAAUCAUCACAAAGACAACUGGAGCUAGGUGCAAAACAAUGUUUGAUGCUAAAUGGAUGCGACAUGUAAGGCUUAGAGGCUUAUACAUUCAUUUUCAUGUGAUUUAUGGGUUGCCAUUCCAAUCAAGCUAGGUGCAAAACAAUAUUUGAUUUAUGGCACAAGCACAACAAUUUGUCAAGUUUGCACGACUCGUGGAGAACGAUGUGGAGACGUGAAGACCUUUUCAUUUUUUGCAUGCAUCAUCUAGACGGAUUUGAGUUGUAGCUUCACCACUAAGCUUGUGUUUUACCGAUGGUUGCGUUGUCAAUAGCGUGUGACCUAUGUGCAUAUAUAACUAUUUGCCAUGCUAGGUGCAUGUGUUGUCAUGUAGUAUGGAGGCACUACAACGCCCAAUGGCCUCUUUGGGUAGGAGGUGAUGAAUAUAGAGAUGCAAUUCACAUUUAUUCAACCGUAUGCAUUCUUGAAUUGCAUAGUUCUAUCUAUCUAUAACACUAACAACCUUGGGUCAUUGGGUGCUAAAUCAAGUUGAGAUGCAAAAGAAAAAAUUCUAUCGUGUUGAAAAAUUUAAGUUGUAUCAUUACCCAAGUUAUCAAAUAUACUCCCUUCGUUCCAAAUUGUAGAUCAUUUUAGCUUUUCUGUUAUGCAUCUAGAUAUAGCAUAUGUCUAGAUGCAUAAUAAUAUCUGUGAACAUCGAAAAAUCGAAACGACGUGUAAUUUGGAACGGAGGGAGUAAAGUCAUGGAUAAAAAUAACUUGUGCAGUUAUAUGGGAGGCAGAUCAAUGAGGGUAGGGAAACAGAUGAACUCGCACCUGAUGUUCCGUAGCGUGCGCACUACUGCAGCCCGUACCCGUCGGAGACCAGCGACUGAUAAUUCUCGCGCUCCAUUUCCAUGCAAGUGUCCAUUUGAAUCGCGGUACAGUACGAUGCAAGUGUCAGGCCCUCCUCUCCCGACUCUGCUGCUGCCCAAUAAAUUCCACAUCUGGUGCUGCGGAUUUGCAGUGGCACGCAACGGCUUUGCCCUUUCGGUUCCGCGUCCUUAACGGCGGGGUUGGCGCCGAUGCGAGCUCCCAACAAUUGUCGCCGCCCCCCGCUGGGCGCUCUGCCUGCCGCCCUGCCGACGGCCACCCAGCGGCGAGGCUGGCUGCUGACAUCUGAUCUCUCUGACCCCCUGCGCCGGCCGGGGAAAGGAUGACGGCGGCAGCCACGAGAUGGCCUGACGGGCGAGCUGCACAUGUCGAUUCAAUUCCACAUCAGACGGGCUGGGAGGCCCUGUCCGGCUGUCCCCUGCAUUGAUGUGACAGUCGUCUCCGAGCCUGCAGACUGCAGUGCUCAGCUGGCGUGUGAUGUGACCAUCGAUUUCCAUCAGCUUUUCCUGCUAGUUACGUGCUACUGGGACCCGUACUGCAGUGAGUACAAUGCGGUGUUUGGUUCCACUAAAGUUUAGUUACGGUCCCUUAUUCAGAUACUAAUUACAAGUAUUAAAUAUAGACUAAUUAUAAAACUAAUUGCAAUUAGUAUCUAAAUAUUCGAUACUAAUAUGUAAUUAAUUUUAUAAUUACUCUAGGUUUAGUCCUCCUAAUUAGUAUCUAAACAUAACUUUAGUCCGUGAAACUAAACACCCUUUAAGAAAUACGGGAGGGUAGCAGCACAAGAAUUUGUUGGUCAAAGAUUGUUUAUUGAUUGAUUUGGGAAGGAUACAAAGUUUUGUUUUUCUCUAAGACCAGUCUCGACGCAUGAUUUCAUCACACUGUCACAAGACUGUCAUAUCAUCUUUUCAAUGAAAUGAAACUGUCACUCUCAUUGCACAGUUUCAUAGACAGCUCGCAACAUUUAAUUUUUGUGUAGAGUUAUGAUCAAAUAUCAUGCGAUGAAACUAUAAUAUUCUCGGUGCAAGUUUCAUUGGAUUUCAUGUGACUAGGUAAAUGUGUCGUGUGGGUUUUAUGAAAUGAAACUCCCCUUCCCUCUCUCUUCGUAAUUAGGCUGCUAAGUCAGUAAAACUGGUGAUGUUGCAUAUGAUUUAAUGCACACGAAAUGGGUUUAGAAAAGAGAGAAAAGAGAGAGAAGGUCAGAAUCAGACAUCCAGCCAUUCAGAAAAAGGAGAGGAGGAAAGGUCCGUGGGGUUGUCAGCUGCGGCGCGGCGCAUGCAUGGCGCCACUUUCCCUGUAAAAAGGGGACAUGCCUCGAAUCCCCCAAGAAACUUUGAUGGAUGGCAUUUGGCAGUGGCAGGCAUGGAUAACAAACCCUAUGGUAUCGAUCGAUCCCCGGAGCCGGGAUGACUGUAAGCAAAAGCAGCUGGAUCUUCCAAAACGAUUUGAUAGGAGAGAAGGUAGGAAACGAUGUACAUUACCACCAGGAACGUACCUAUAUUACUGUUGGUGGGUAACUUACCCGUGUUAAUUAUCACUCCCUGUGACCCCUGUUCCAAGUUACAAAACACAUUUGCUUUGAAACUGUACACUUUGAGCAAAAUUUAGUCGAAUUAUAAGCAUUUGUAAUAGCGGAGCAGUUCUCAUUAGAUAGACAUUUCAAAAUGCUAUCGCCUUGUUUGACUCUGCGAAAUCACUACAGGCCUUACGAUUCUUGAAACGGUGGAGUGGGAGCAGCCUAUGGGGUGCGACCAUGGAUGGAGUUAUGGAAAGCAGAGCCCCGUGCCCGGGUGCCGCGGCCGCCAGCCUGCCGGAGGAAAGGAGGCCAAGCCCGGCUAACCAUUUGCUUAAACAAAUCCCGAAAAGGUUAGGCUCGCGCUUUGCAUCACGCAGCAAAUUACUCCUAGUUUAACGAUACGCCGUACGGCCCGUGUGAAACCGCGCGCGUGCGAGGGGGGCCGCCGCCGCCGCCGCCGCUUGUCCAGCCGCCAUUGGGCUGGGGGGCGACACGUUUCGGCCUAGGGCUGGGGGGACACCCAUCAGCUCGAUCGGGCACGAGACGAGAGAGAUGGUGAUUGGGAUUGCCUGGGGGCAGCUUGAGGAAAGCAAAGCAGAUCGGCUGUAGAGGGACAGGUCGACGGAGGGUCUCGUUCCGGCAGGGCCCCUCGAGCUCGCUCCAUCAUGGCGUCGUGGGGCCAGAGAUACGGUACUGUACGGCGCUGUAUGACACGAGCUAGUGAUAAUUGGUGAGGAAAUUAAAGUGCGUGGAGUACAGCAGCAUGCGUGUGAUAAGGAGCUUUGUCGUGUCUGUGAACGCAUGCUGCUUCAGGGAUCAAAAUAUCUCCGUUACUCGUUGAUCAGACGUGUACACGCAUCAUUAACCUUCUGAUAGGGAUGUGAUGUGGAUCGGUGGAUGUGGACGGUGUGGUUGAUCCAUAUCAGGCGAUUGAAUCUUAAGACGUCCUAAAAUUUAGCACCGGUUAGGAGUAUUAAUCAUAAUCUAAUUACAAAACUAAUUACACAGACUGAGUCUAAUUUGCGAGACGAAUCUAUUAAACCUAAUUAGUUCAUGAUUUGACAAUGUGGUGCUACAGUACCCAUUUGCUAAUGAUGGAUUAAUUAGCUUAAUAGAUUCGUCUCGCGAAUUAGCCCAGAGGUUCUACAAUGAAUUUUAUAAUUAGCUCAUAUUUAAUCCUUCUAAUUAGCAUCGAACAUCUGAUAUGACACAUCUAAAGUUUAGCACCUAAUAUCAAAAUAAAACCGGGCUAUUUUACGUAUUGGUUCUUCGAUCUUCCCCCUCUCCCUUGACAUGCAGUUCAGGCUUCAGCAGACAUGUCUGAACUCUGAACCGAACUGGCAAUGCCGUCAUCUCUCAUCCGUAUACCCAAUGCCACGAUUCCUUCUCCAUACCCAAACCAGAAAAAGAAGACAAGGAUUUCGUCAAAAAAAAAACACAGAAAAAGAAGACAAUGAUGCAUACCACUACGAAAACAGCUAUCGUUAUUCCUCUGAUUACUGAAAGAGGAAGAAGAAAAGGUUAGGUGAUCAGGACAAAGAGAAUGUAUGGAUCAACCACACACGACACGGAGAGAGACGUGGCCUACGACUGGUCACGUACUUGCACAGCAACCGCGUGCAUCGCGACGCUCGCAGGUCGCAACCCAAUCCGGCGGCCGAAAAGAACGCUUCCUAUCUUAUCAUGAUCAGGCCGAAGUCGAGUCGGGUGUCACAUCCGCCAAGGAGAGGACGGAGCACGAGCACUCGCGGGCGCCCUCUCACAUUAGUGUCGCCAUUUGCCGAUUUCUUCGUUCCAAGCAACCGCAGGUCAUUUGGAAAAGCGGCACAGAAGCCGCACGUCGUCAGCUCAGCUCAAAUGAUUGCUGUGCUGCAGGUUCCGUGGUUCGUUCAAGCGUUGCUGGUGCCGUGUCACCGAUGGGUGCUGUGCUCACGCACCCGCGAGGUGUGACCUUCACGGCUCGCUCGUGGGGCCGUCAUCUGGUGCUUGCAGUGCCCAUCAACCUCGCAGUGAUCUUCAGGAUCGCUGCUUGGAUUCCAUGGAUAGCAUCGUAGCAAAGCACAGUGGAUUAAAUCCAGUGAUGGAGAGGACUAGAAGGGUGUAAAUGCUGUUGCGGCGCAGGAAAAUGAGUUUCAGAGUUCGGACAUCAGGAAACGUUGAUUUGUUCCUCUGGGAAACAUAUAGCUUCCAUUUCUGACACUCAGGCCUCCAGAUGUUAAUAAGGCCACUGACAGGAUUAGUGUUGGAUAAGAUCAGUAUUUGCACUUCCUCCACGCUGAGGGAUUACAGGGGCAAUUUUAGGAGCUUGCUUUCAGCAGGAUGCACAAAAAUCCACAGCAGCCGUCAUGAUUUUGUUCUGCAGGUGUGGACGAACCAGGUGCAAUAGUUUUACUAGAGUUUCCUUUCAAUAGGUAUUGUAUGCAUACUCAUACAAGGAACACGAGGAAACCUGCUGCCGUUGUUCUAGAAGCACAGCAGAUGCGUCGGAAUUUUCUCUGAACUGAAUGGUGUAUACAGUCAAUUUUCAUCUGGGCUUAACCCUGGCACGUUGUAUGACUUGUUUCUGAU
rnacentral:lncRNA from 1 species